AAUAAAGUUCCAAGGCUGUAAGUUCAUCGAUUCCCUAAAAAGAAAAAAACAAUUUACUGACAGCAGUAUUAUUGAUUGAAAGAACUGCUUAGAACCUUUGGAGGAUUUAGUAACUUCAACUUGAAUAUAUUUGUCUUUUGACCACCUAACCAAAAUGAGAGGAUAGAACUAGAAGUUCCUGUGACUUUGUCAAUUAGGCAUCAGAAAUAAGUAAAAAGUAAAAUGAGAAUCUUUCAUUCAUCUAUGGUUGCUGGGGAAUAAUAUAUUUCAACAAGAGGAGAGAGAAUUUAUGAUUUCAUUUUGGGGAUUUCAACCAUUUUAACUCUUGUUUGAUCUUUUUGGGUGUCCAGAUGUUGAUAGAUAGUUACAGGGAGUAAAUGAGAGAAUCCUUUAUGGUUGAAAUGUCACUAUUUCUUAAGAUUUGCCUGCAGGAACUGACAUGUGCUUAUUUAAUUUAACAGGUUAAAAAAAAAAAAAAAACUAUUUGAGUGUUUCUUCCAUACCUAGUCUCUCCUUCAAAGUUAAUUUUUAUUCUCUUUUUUGCAAGAAAAUAUAUUAUGUCAAUUGAAAGUCUUAAACAAAAUUUUGAAUGAUUCCCAAUUAUAAUAUGUGCUUACAACCACAAGAACAUAAAAUAAAAGUAUAAAAAAAAUAAACCUGAAAAGAUUCUUUCCACAUGAAGAAGAAGAAGAAGUAGAGAAAUAGUGAUAGAUCUAACCUAAAAACAAAAAUAGCGAUGGUAGCGAUGGUCCACUUCUUGCCUGUUUUUGUUUGGGCUUCCUCCUGCAUUUUGUCCUCUACUUUUCAAAUGGGGAAGACGCCAAUUAUUUAACCUGUUUUUGUUGUCAAUUUCCUUCUUUUUAUUUCUCUUUUUCCAAAUCUACAUGUAUGUAUAUUUUGUCUGCUUUGGAAUUUUUUAUCUACUGAUAAUUUAAUUUUAAUUUUUACCUUAUGCUUUCAUUUUAUUUUACAUUUUAAAAGGGGUUCUUUUAAUUUCAGGCCAUUUACCCUUUCUUGCUGACAGCAACAAUUUAGUUACCAUCGGUUUGUUUGCACAAAUGUUCAUUCCUUUCUAAAUAUCAUUCCACUAGAGUUUCACGUGAAUGGUAGUAAUAAAUAACAAAUAAUAAGAACUUAAUGUGAUAAAAAUAGUUUUGGUAAAGGUUGAAACAAACACAUUAUUUUACGAUUUAUUUUUUAGUUUCUACAACCACAUUGUAGUGACACUCGAUUUUAGGGUCAAUUUAUUAAAGAAAGUAAAAUUAUUUUUUCUCUACGUUGUGGGGUCUAGUUUUUAUUCGUUUUUUAGGUUUUGAAAUUUACAUUUUUAUUUCUUAAAUUUUAAAUUUAGUUUUGUUCUAUAUCUUAAAAUGCUAUUUUACCUUAUAAUUAUAUGAUUGUUCUGUAUUAGUAUUAAAGGGAGAACGAGUGUUAUGCGAAAGACGUACUGAAAUUUAUGGAUAGAAUUCACACAAUAGUGUGAGAUUAUUGCAUUAAUUUGAAUUAUUUUGAGGAUGGAUAUUUUUAUCCUAAAAGAAAAGAAAGGAAAAGAGGCCAAUCAUGAGGGAGGCUUUUACUCUUGGCUUUAUGCACUUUGAAUUUUGCAUAAUUUUCUGUCCACAUUAAUUUUUCCCAUAACAAAGAGAAAUCUUGUCCACUCGAUUCUCUUCUUAUAAAGUAUCCAAUUAGUGUUCUUCCAAAUUUUGUUAAUACCAACAAAUUUGAGCCCUAAAAGCUAUAUCAUUUUAAAUUCCCAAGUUGAGAUUUAUUUAUUUAGAAAUUCUCUCUAUUUAGAGGCCACCUACAGCUUUCAUUUGUAAGGAUCAAGAUUGCUGAGCUGAAAAAUAAGUGCUUUAUCAUAUUAUAGGAUUCUUUUUUUAAAUUAAAAAAAAUACUAACAAAAUCCAAUUAGAAUUCUUUUAACUAUAAUUCAACUUGAUAUGUUCAGAUCUUUUACAUUAACCCAUCUUCAUAAUUUACCCACCAACGUUUAAAUAAUAUAGUUGUAAAUAUAUUUUUAUUUAGCUUUGGCUCACUUUGUUGACGUAUUUUAAAAAUAUUCAUUUUAUUUUUUGUAUUUUAAAAAUUAUUCUCGGUUCUUAGGUAUGGAAAAGAAAAUGAAAAUAAAUGAAACAAUAUAAAGUAUAUGAACAAAAAUGGAUCUACAUAUAUUGUUUUUUAUGAGUUGAAGAAAUGUUAAAAGUAUUUUUCUCUAACUUAUUUGAUUUGAAAGAUUUUGUUUAUAAUAUGAAUAUUUGGGUCAAAAUUAGAACCUUUUAAGAGACUAUGAACAAAAUUGGAAAAUAAUAUAAAUUCUUUUAGAAUCAAAAUGCAGUGGUACUCUUUCAAUUGUUCAGCUAGAGACUAUGACUAUAAAUGUUAUAAUUAGCCAUUAAAAGAGAGUAACCCAGCUAGCCUACAAAGCAAGACAAAACUUAUAUGUUUGUUUUUAUAGGGUAGCCCACACCUUUGACCAAAUAACUCAUUUUUAAUUAAUUGAGUUCACCAUUAAUGCAUCAGUUUUUAUGACAAAUUAAUGGGUUUCAUGGAAUAAUAAUAAUAAUCUUUCCAUUUCAAACAAAUUUGUUUAGAAAUUAUUUUAUUUUUGAUAAUCAAUAAACCCCAACUUGUUUGUGGACACAAAGGAGUUUUGAUGAUACAAUAGUAACCAACAUAAACAUUAUAUUAAAAAAGAACAUCGUUAUUCCACUUCAAAAGUACAAACUAUACUAAUAUUUAUAACAAUAAUAAUCCAUGGUGAUUCACUGAGCUACUUGUUCAAGUACUGGCUUUGGAGUGGACAAACUUAGCUGCAAAUCAGGUUGAUGAUGAUGACGAUGAUGAUGAUGAUUGGUUGUUGUUUGAAAAUUGUUGAUCGUAAUUGAGCUUGAAGAUUUGUUGAUGGGGGAUUGAAGAAACUUGAAAUAUGGCUCAUGAUGACGUUGAUUAUAAUGAUACUCAAUCCAAUUGAGAUUUGUUAAUUCUGAAAUAUUUGGAAUUGGAGUUGGAUUCCCAAAGGAAAUAUUAUUGGAUGAAGCUGGUUGGAUAUUAUAAUUAUUAUUGGUUGGUUUCAAAUUGUUGUUGAUGCUGCUGCUGCUGCUGCUGCCUUUUUCAACCACUUGCACUGUCAAUUUGUCCCUUGCUGCAGCACCCUGUUGUCAUUCAUAAUAAACCAUAAACACACAUUUUUCUUUUGUAGUAUAUAGAGUAGUGAAAGUCAUUUACAAUCCCAAUAUUCAAAACCUAAUCAUCAUUGAAUUUGACACCAACCCUACAAAAAAGAAUCAUUCUAAAACACACAACAAUGAAAGGAUUAAAUUGAAAAAAACAACUCAAUUAGCUUUUCUGUUUAUUAUUUGGUUAUUGGAGAACCUUAGAAUUUCAUUUCUGUAGUUUAUAAUUAUAAUUCAGUUUUUAGGAUUUUAUCAAACCAUAUUUACUUAAAUUCUAAUUAAUAUUGAAUUGUAUUUUACUUUAGUGAGUUUUAGUUUAGUAUUAUAUAUUAUAUAGAUACGAACUGGUAUUUAUAUUAAACAAUUAGUUGUUAAACUUCACCUUCCUUCUCGUAUAUAUUUAUUAUCAUUGAGUAUUAUAUGUGUUUAAUUAAUGACUAGUCAAUAAAAAAGGAAAGUCUUAUACGUAUGCAAAUGGGUUAUUUAAAAGUAAUAGAAUAGUGUGUAUUAUUAUUUAUAUUGGAAGAGGAAUAUAAAACAUUAGUGACGAACUAAUUAAAUUUAAGUAUAUAUUGACAAUAUUGGCUUUUGUCUUUUAUUUAUAUGAAUAUUCACUUACUUAGAAAAUUGGGUUAUCAUUCAAAAUUCAAUCUUUGGCAAUUGGCACAGAGAAAAAACAGAAAUAAAAUAUGUGAAAAAUUAGAGAGUUUUGAGAGGGGGAAGUUUACGUCGAAAAGGCUGGGACGACGCUGUUUUCUUUUGUUGAGAGUUGUGAGUCGUAGAAAGUAUUUUUGUGCAUGACUAGCUACUUGAGUCGGAGUUCUUGUCGUCACAAAUUUCCUCGAAAUUCCUCUCCAAUCUCCUUUUCCAAGCUUUUCUAACCCAAUUAGAAACACCUUAUGCUCCUCUUCACUCCAUGGUACACCUAUUCAAAUACCAAAAACAUCCCGAGCUAGUAAGUUGGUGAAACGAUAAAACUAAUUAUAUAAUCAGCUAGAACGGAGAAAAGAUGAAAUGAUAUUCCUAGCUAGAAUUCAAGCAUGCAAUUUAAUGCUUUAAUACCAUAAUUAACCUAAAAAAAUAAGAAAUAAGAAUAGCCAUAUGACCAAAACGAAAAGGAAAAAGAAUAAUUAAAAGAAGAAAAACCAUGUUUUUGUUUUGAAUCUUUUGAAUUCAUGAUGAAUGAUUCAGUACAGUGCAAGAAAAAUUACCUUUUUUUCUUUCAUGGGUUUUGGCGACGAGGCCGUCUGAGAGAUAUCCAUUUGACAAUUUCUCAGAAGAAGAAGAGGACGAUAAAGAUGAAGAAGCCGAAGAAGAAGAAGAAGGCAAAGAAUCCAAACUAAUACUCUUCUUCAACAAGGUGGUAUGAUGAUGAUGAUGAUGAGUUGUUGUUCCAUUAUCAAUGAGUUGAACUCCAAAUAACUUAAACUUGGUUUCUUUAUGCUUUUGAAUGGUGCAAGUUCUUGAAUUGUGACCCACAUUCCCACAGUGUGAGCAUUUCCUCACCAUCUCUCUCUCUAUCUCUCUCUCUCUCUCUCAAAUGGAAUCUCAAACUAACACCAAAUUCUUUCAAAAGUAUAAUAUAAAGGGUUUAAAAAGGAAGGGGUAGCUGUGUUGUUGUUUUGAUUAAAUUAAAUUAAAUCAAAUCAAAUCAAUAGGGUUUGUGUUAAUUAUUAAUUAGUGAAGAAAGAGAUAUGAUCCUCUCCUCCUCCUAGGUUCUUUCUUUAAUGAUUAUUGACGUAAAUAGCAAGUCAAGAGGUGUGUGUGUUUGUGUCUCAUUGGAUCAUAUUCUUUUUCUUAUAUGAUAAUAAUAAUGAUAUGAUAAAACUUAUCCUAAAAAUGGCAUCUUUUUUAAAACUCCCACAUGACCAACGUGACCUUAUAUUUGUCCCAUUCUUUCUCAUAUCUCUCUAUUUUAUUUUAUUCUUUCUAUCCAUUUUCACCUUUUCUUUCUUUCUUUCUUUCUUUUUACUCUCAUUUCUACUUAUUCUAAGUAAGUUAGAUUACAUAUUUGCACACGAAUAGUUUGAAAAUUUUAAGGGUUUUUCUUUAAUCCUAAUAAUACUUCAUUUGAAUUUUUAAAGAAUUUUUUAUACCUAACAAUAGUUUUUGAAAUAUUUAUAAAAAAUUAACAGUAAUAAUACUAAAACUUUUAGAAAUUUAUCAAAAAAUAUAUAUAGUAAAUUUGACAUUCUAUCCAUGUAAAUAUAAGUAAAUAUUUUAAUUUAUUUUACUACUUUAAAAAAUGCUCGAAAAAUUGUAGUAGAAAAUAUUUACAAAAUUUAAAAUUUUAUCAAUUAUGGAUGUAUAUUAUUUGAAGGUGUCUUUUUUUAUUUUUUAAGUAUGAAACAUAAUUUUUUAAAAAAGCUUAAGAAGAUAUGUUUAAUUUUUUUUCUUUAAAUUACUAUUAUUUGUUAUUGAAAUUGGGGUGACCACAAAAUUCCCACCAUACAUUAUUGUGAUGGGAAAAAGGGAGUGAUGUUGAUACCAACCAACAAAACCCUAUUUUUAGUUGGAGAUUUGCCCAAAAAAAAAAAAAGAAGAAAUUUGAAAUAAUUUCUUGAAGAUUGCUCCAUAUAAAAAAAGAUGGGAUAAAAAAGAGAAUGAUUACAAGCAAGUUGGCAGAACAACUACUGAAAUAUCAACAUUCAACACAUUGUGACCAUACAUUUUUGUGGAAGCUAUUUCCAUUGAUUAUAAACUUCCAAAUCAAACAUUUCCAUACAUUCCCUACACACACACACAAAAAUACCAACUGUUUCUUUUAGAUUUUCAACUUUGUUAACUAUCACGUUAAUGUGAUAUAUAUGUAUUCAAUUUUCUUAACAUAUUAGUUAACUUGUCAAGUUGGCAAAAACCUUAAUUUCAAUAGUAUUUUUGGAAAGCAUUUUAACCUAUAGUUUUUAAGACGAAGGACAAAAAUGAAUUCCAUAUGAGUCUAAAGUUCAUUAAUUCUUUUGUAUAUGAUAAGAAAGGUAAGGCAUUGGCCAUCAAAUCUCACCAUUUAGAAAUCCCAUGUUGUCUCCAACAUGGUGGACCAAAUUUCCAUACCCACAAUAUCAUUAUCCCCUCUCUCUCUAUAUAUAUAUAUAAACUAUAUUAUUACUAUUUCUAUAUACUUUGCAUAAAUAAUAAUAAUAAUGCUUUGUGUUUGUCUAACAUGAGACAACUAAUUAACAACUUAUUAUAAUCUCAUUCUCUUUAAACAUAAAACCCUAAUUCACAUUAACCCAACUUGUCCCUGUACUAUUGUUCUAAUAAUAGCAUUUUUCACAUUGCUAUAUAUUUAAUCAUCCAAAAAGUAUUAUUUAAUUGAUUAUAAUUAAUUAGGUGACAAUUUUGUUAGAAUAUAUAUAAGUGAAUUAGCGAAUUAAAUUUAUGAAGAGAUUAUAUAUAUAUUUUUUUUAACCUUUUCAAAUGGUAAAAAGAAUUACUAACACAAUUUAUUAUUUACUUGAGUAUUAAGCAUCAUAUUUUAGGGAGGUGAAAAUGUUUUCUCUACCCAACAUUUACUAAUUAACUCUUUUGUUUUUACUGACCCUUUUCAAACUUUACACCAAAAAUAUCGUAAAGUAGUUUUAAUUUAAGCAUAUAUAUAUAUAGGGUGUGAAAAUGAUAAUGAUGCAUCUUUUUCUUUUAUAAAGUAGUUUGACUUAAUCACCUCUCCCCAUUUCAAUAUUCUUUUCGAUAAUUAAUCAAUGGACUUUCCCUUACCUGCACUCAUCUCGUUUUAAUAUUAAAAACUAAAAUAUCACAUAUACAAACUGCACCAAUCGAUGAUAAGUACUAAUAUCUGUCCAAGAAAUAUGUUUUUUUCUAAGUAAUUAAGAAACCAUCAUGUAUAACCACACUAAUUAAUUAAUUUACUUAAUCUCCUGUUUCUUUGGCCUAAUUAUUAAAAUCCUAGUUGCAAUCUGAAAAGGUGUAGUAUAAAUUAAUUAUACACAUCACACUUUGAAUGUAACCUUUUCUUGUUCCCUUCAUUUCUCUUUAAUAUUUAAGGCCAAGUUGAGUGGAUAUCUUAUUAAUUUAUCAAAAUUAAACUCUAAUAUAUAUUGGUGAAUUUGACUGCUACUUUGGUUUCUACUUUGAUAUAAAAUUAGCAUAUGACAUAAAAAUAAUUAACUAAGUUGUUUUUUAUUCACUGUCGUCUAGUGAGUGAAGGAAGAUAGUUAAAGUAACACAUAAUGUAAGUUAUUAUAUGUUACAAAAUUAAAGCAUUAUCAUUUAAAAUAAUGGGAAUUAAAUUAUAAAUUUAAUAAAUCUUUCCAAACCAUAUAUUAUACUUUUAAUUGAAUUUUACAUUUAAUUGGAUUUUAAACUUUCAAUUUGACUAACCCAUUUAAAUUUUUAGGACUAAAUUUGUAAAUCUAAUAUGAAAUUAAUAUGAUUCAAGCCUAUUAAUUUAAAACAUUGUUGAGUUUCUAUGUAUGAAAUUAUGGUGAAUCUUCUCGAAGAUAGUGACUAAAUAAAAUUAAUUAUCACAUUUGCUAUAGUGACGACUAAAUAAAUAAAGUAACAAUAUCUUAAUUAAGGAAUAACGACAAAAUUAAACUUAUUACAAAUAAUUAAUAUUUAAAACGAAGCAAUAUAGAGAGAGAAGAAUCAAUUAUGGAAAUAAUAAUUAAUGGAAGUUUAAGAUAAUGUUUUAAAUUAACAAAAAAGUAUAUGGACCAAUUUGGUUCUCCAAAGUUCAAAACCCUCUAUUAAUUAAAUUAUAGACAAUUAAUUAAGAAAAUUCAACUUGAAUCUAUAUAAAAGCUUAAUUAAUUUAGAGAUAAUGACCAAAAGCUUAGGGGUUGUGUGGAGAUCAUUUGCUUUAAAAAACCCUACUUAAUUUUUUUUAAUACAAAAUAAUUAUGAGUGAUGGGACCAACUCAACAUCCAAACCAAAAUUUCUAAGGUAAUUAAUUUACAUUGUGGAUAUUAAUUAAUCAUGCCAUUUUUUAUUUCCAAAAUUAGACUUUAUUAUAAGAAAAGUUAAGUCUAACUUAAUUAAUUGAUUACAAAUUAUGAAAUUGACUAUUACACGAUAGGUUGAAGUGAUCAUAACAUAAUACUAAUGCAUAUCAAAUUAAUCUAAUUAGUGCAUCUAUGAUUCUUAAUUAUAAGAAAACAAUAGUGUUUAUAAUUAAUAAUGGAAAUAAAAUUAGACUAAUUCAUUGAAUAUGGUCUAAAUAAUCAGGUAAUUAAUUAAGGCAAUGAAUAUAAUCAAGGGAUGUUCUCUCUAUCUCCAAUAAUCAUGCAUGAUAUAGGAAAUUAAAGUUGAUUAAUUAAGAUGGUUGAAUAUUCCCUAAUGUUGACAUUCUUCUUUCUUUUUUAUUAAUUUUGCUGUAUUGAUUAAUAGUUAUUUUUUAGUCCUGACAUUAAGCUUAAUUAAUUUUACGUAUAGUUUAAGGAUGAUUAAAUUACAUGUGUGAUGUCACUUGAAAAUGUGUUGAUUAUUUAAAUUAUAAGCAACCAUAUUAUUGCAUAUGAAAUGAAAUUAAACACUAAUUAAUUUGCUCUUGCUCUCAUGAUUAAUAUAAUUAAAUUAGCCUCUUUAGGUUACGUGAUGCAUCUGCCCUCUAACUUAUCUUCAAUUGGUUUAUUAGAGUGAUAUAUAUGUAAGAAAAGGAAAUUAAAUUAAAUUAAGAAGAUAAUUUUUCUUAAUUACAAGCUAUCAAAUUGUUAGCUUAAUUAAUUAUGAAGAUUAAUAAGGCAUACUUUAUUUAAAAGAAAACUAUGAUAUACUAUAAAUAAAAGUGUAUAUGUCAUCAUGUAAAAUGAUAUUCUGAAGUUUGAAGAACACACAGACUAUUAAAUUAGUAUUAUAUUGUGAAGACAUGUAGAGAAUUUGGUUACAAAGUUUUGUAUUAGUCAUACAAAUUUUAAUUAAUAUAGGUCUAAUUCAAUCCUUAUUAUUAAUUAAGAUUUAAGUCAAUAAUCCAACAAAAAAGAUUACAUGAUAUUUUCUUUCUCUUGUUAAUUAAUAUUAUUCACACCUAAGCAAUAAUAACAUAUAUUCACAUUAUUUAUAUUUGAAAAAUAUUAAUUAAUUAUACCAAUUUAAAUCUUAUGUUAUAGAGUGAAUCAAUUUAACCUAUUUAAUUUCUAAUUGAAAGGUCUAAAUUGGAUUAAUAUUUUUAAAUUUCAGUGUUCAAAUCAAUAUUCUUACUAACUGUGAGGGGUAAAUAAAUAAUGUACUUAUUCAAAAUUAAGAGAUAUUUAAUUAUGUUCGUUUUACAAUUUAUCAAACGUUGAUCAGAACAAACUUCAUAUAUAAUCUAAAUUAGAGUGAUAUAUUUCAACCGACACGAAUCUCUCACCUAACUCCAAUAAUAAAAAAUAUAACUUGUGAAGUCAUUAAAUUACAUAAUUAAGAAAAACCAAUAGUUAAGAGGAGAAUAUUCAAGAAUCUAAAGACAACUAUACUAUACCAUAAGACUAAGCAAUUUUGGAAUCAUGUCUACAUCUUUUAUCUAACCAAAUAAAACAAACAAAUAAAGUAAAAGCCAUUGACAAACAAAAUUCCUCUAAUAAGCAAACUUUGGUUAUGAUUGAAAAUUAAACUAAGCCAAACUUUGCACCCUAAGUCAAAAAGGGACCCUCCUAAUUAUCUUAAUCACGACUAUUUAUUUACAUCAAUGAGUUUAAUUAUGAUUUAAUGUGUUUUUUAUUAAAAUUUUAUCUCAAUUAAUUUAAAAUUAUUUUUAAAUAUAGUAAAAUAAAUUAAAAUAUUUAUAAAAAUAUCAUAUUUGAUAGGACAUAAUAUAACUAUUUAUUAUUUCUAUUGUCGUAUAAAUUCAAAUGGAAAUAAACUAUGAUUUUAAUUAUUUUUUCCAUCAAUACCUGUUUUUUUUAAGAUGAACAAUAGAACAUUAAUCAUUUAAAUAAUUCUUAUGAAAGAUUAAAAUAUUGGUUUGAAAAAUAAGUCAAUAAUUAUUUUAGCAUUAUUCCCAAUAAGAAAUGCUAUUAAUCUAAUAACCAUUUGAAAUUCUAAGGUUGUGGUUGUGAAGUUUCCUUCUGUACUAAUAUAUAUGAAAUGAAUGCAUAUGUAUAUAUUUAACUUUUAUAUUUUGAAGGAAUCAUAGGUUAUAUGUAUAUAUUUAUAUUUGAAUAAACAUGUCAUUAAAAUACACAAAUUAACAUUUAGAGGUCCAAUUAUGAUUUAAUUUGAUCAUUCCUUUUGUAAUUUUUUAACUUAAUAGAAAAAUGGACAAAUGCCAAACUGAGUAUAUAGAUUACUAUUUAAGCACAUGGUCUCUUUAUUGUCUAUUUGUAUUUUGUCCAAUUAAUUGUUAGUUCUUACACAUCUCCUAGCAAUAAUUUUGAUGUCACAUAUAUCAUAUUAAAGUAUAUUAUAAUAAAGUGUAUCAAAUUAAAUUUAGUUUAUAGUUUUUUUUUUUCUUUGUUAUAGUUCAAAUUUGAUCCCUAUAAUUUUCAAAGUUUCAAUUUAGCCCUUGUUAAUGAUUGAAACUCUCUCCUUUACUUGAUGUCAUCUUCUAAUAUACAUAUAACCAACAUAUUAACAUAUCUUAGAUGUAUUUAAGAUGCAGUAAUGUCUUGUAAUAUAACAAUAGAGAUAAUUAGUAAAAUGCAACCCAACUGUGGUGAUGAAAAUGACCAUUAGAAAACCAGUACACUAAAUUGAAACUAUAACUAAAUUAAUUAGAUGUAUGGAGUGAUAAACAUUCAUAAUUUCAUACCUCCCCACAAUCAUAUCAAUGUAGUUAUUAUAACGUAUAUCAAAGUUGUUAAGUUCGUCGAAACUGCUACUCUCUUUAAUAGCAGCAGGUCAAGACUUCUUUCUGAUAUUUGAGAUUUUGAUCAUCACAACACAUUCUAUUAGAUUAUAUUUCUCUUUUUUGUCCACAAAAUUGUAAUUUAAUUGCUCACAUUUUGGAAUGUAAUGCACCAUAAACUGACGUCCUUUUCGUAUAGCUUAAAGAUCAUUCUCCACAUGUUAAUGUUGCUCUGUCAAAAUGAUAUUCAUCUCUUUGCUUUUCUUAUAUAUUGAACGAAAAUGGACAUUCAAACUCUCACGUUUUGGGCCGGGAUGUUAGGCCCCGGGCCGGUUUCGGGAGUUAUAAAUGGGCCGCCUUUAACUAGUUGGGCUUGGGCCGUAACAUGAAAAAGCAGUAUUGGGCAAAUCCUGUAAUUCAUACAGAAAGCAGGGGUGAAUUUGCAAACUUGGUCAAAAUUUAUUGAUAUCAAUAAUUAAUAUUUACAUAUCAUAGCUUAAAUGAUUUUACUUUAUGGCAUGUAAAGUCUAUCCACUACCAAAAAGAAAUUGCCUUUUUUAACUAUAUUUUCUAUUGUUCUUUAUGUUUAAAUUUUAUAUUUUACUUUUUUUGUCAACUUGAUCUUUUAAAAUAUUACAUUAUGUCAAAUGUAUUAGAAAUUUGUUGAUAAUUUAAAAACAAAUUGAAAGACCAAUGACCAAUUUUUAGGACACAAACAAACUAAAUAUAGUUAUUAAUAGCACCAAAUAAAGGUAUUGAGAUUUUAUGAUAUGAAGUUUAUUAAUAAAAAUUUACUCUCUAAUACAAUUUAUUUAUUUUGUGUCUAAUAGAUUCUAGAAAUUUAAAAAACACUCUCUUAAACUAAAAAUCAUAGCAAAACGAAAAAAGAAAUUGAGAAUAAUGUUUUUAUUUGUUGAGUUCUUUCAAAGAAAAGAAAAAAGAAAUUGAGAAUAAGAUUUAAUAUUUAGAAUAUUAUAAAAGUUGGGACAAAACGAAGACAAGAGUCAUUUAAAACAUACCAUAGUACUAUGCACUAAAAAAUGCUAAUUAUUAGUGACAAAGAAGACCUUUCACAUCUAUGCUUUCACUUUAUUGCUAAAGGGACCUUAUAAAAGCUUCUUUAAAAAAAAAUAUUAAAGGGUAUAUUUUUACAUUCGUACAACUUAUCCUUUGAAGAUAUAAUAAGACUAAAAAUAAUUUUAUUUAGUAGGUUAAAAUUUGUUAUCGAAAGUUUAAGAGUAUAGUUGUAACUUUUACUAUACUUUGAAAAUAGUUUUAAUUUUUGUAGUUAUUGAGUUUUUACAAUAUCAUUCAUGAUGUCAUAGCAAUAUUUAAAAUAUAGAAUUCAAAGUGUGACAUACUAUUUUUUAAAUUCUAACUUGCUAGUGAACUUAGAAUAGAACGGAUAAAACAAAUUAAUGUACUAAUGGUUAGUUUUCAAACGUGUUUGGUUUGGUCGGUAACGUGUAUGUUAGGAAGAUUUGAAACAUAUACUAUUUAGUAGAUACUAGUAUCACAUGUCAAUUGAGUUAUAAGCUGAAGGUAGAUACUAGGAUGUUAUUUUUUACCCUAAGAAAUUUAUUAUAUAGUUCAAAAGCAGGAUCAUAUUUUGACUGAGGAAUAAUUUUGGAGAUAAUGAAAAGCCCAAGAAGAAACCCCAUGUUGGUUGGUUUGAACUUUUGAUUGGUCUCUGUGUCUUUUCAAAACUGAGCACACUGCUCUGAGUCAUGGAGAGGUCCGGACAUUGGCGACCCACCAUGGAACCUCUCUCUGAAUCCCAAUGUGAACCUCUCUUUUAUCUUUCUCACCUUCUCCAUUUUCUUUCAAUUUUCUCCCUUUAAUAAUGGGGGUCGAAAGAGAUUGUGAAAAAAGGCACACAACCCCAAAACCCCUUGAAACCCCUCUUUUUGUUUGUCAAAAUUGUUUGCUUCUUCAAAUUGAAAUUCCAGUUUCUGGGUUCUGAAAUACACAAAAAGCAAAACCCAAGUUGAGAAGAAAAAGGUAGUAAUCAGUAUUCUCUUUUAGUAGUAGUACAGUAUGUGAAACCAAAAAAUGGGUCAGGAAAAAGAGCUAAGCUAAGAGACAUUGAAUUUGAAAUAUUUUGUCUUGCAGUGUGGAUUGCCAGCAUUUCUCUGUUUGGGUUUGCAGGCAAACCAAGCAAGGAACAGACCCCACAACCUCAGUUUUUCACACUCAACCAUGUGGUAAUGGUAAGAAAAAACAUAUAUUUACUAUCAAUUUUAGUUUCCUGAGUUUUUUUCUUUUCUUAUUUUUGUCAUUGUGCUGUCAAAGAAUUUGUUCUUGGAAAAUCAAUCUCGAGGUUUGAGUUUCUUUAUUAUCCAACGUGGAAGCUGAAUGAUAAUUACACUUGAUUUUAAUAAAUGUACUGUCUUUUCUGUGAAAAAUAUUUUUUCUCUUUAAACUUUCAAGAACCGUACACUCUUUGAAGCAUAUUUUGUCUAUUAAACUCUUCAUUAAGAAAGAACCUUCUCUUUCCGUUCUUACUUGAGUAAUUAUUAAAGCCCACUUUAUGAGAGAAAGAGGUCUUGGUUGGAACUUCUUGAACCUGAAACGUUAGUUGACCUUGACAGGACAGAAAUUGGAUUAGUACUUUCAGAGAGACAAUUGAGAUGGUUAGAAAUUAAACCCCUUUAAUGGUUUCACUUACCAAGCCUGCAGUGCAGAGAAAAAGGCAAAAGCCAGAAGCAUUCUCUCUAGUAACAGCUACAUGGAAGUGUUGCACCAACAUUGAGGUUGUAGGUCCACAUUAUUUCCUCUAGUUAUUUCUGGUCAUUAUCCAGAUCCCAUUAUCGCUACUUGGUCAGAGCUCUAAAGAAAAAUCAGAGAAAAGAUUUAGAAAAUGGAGGGAAAAGUUUGGGUUGUAUCACAUCAGAUCCAACGGCAGAGCUCUAGAUUUAAGAUAGAAUGGUAAUGGAAAAUGGAAUCCUGAUCCGAGAAAUGAAGGCUAUCUAUUUGCAUUGUUUCAUCAUUCUGGUGUUACUCAAUGAAUAACCAUAAUGGUCCGAAUACGAAUAUUAAGGAAGGUUAGUCUAAUAAUUGAAGAAAUGCAUACACCCAAAACUAGCUGAUGGGUGCUGUUUUCAUUGCGAGACAUUAAAUUUGUCAAAGAUAUCCCACAAGAUCUUCUCGUCAGUUUUGGUUUGCUUGCAUCAUCAUUUUCAGGCUCUUUUCUCUCGCCUUUCUCUGAGACUAUAUCUGUUCAAAAGUACACUGCUGAAACAGUAGUCUCUCUUUUUUCACAUUUGAUUGCCUUAAGUUCUUAGUUGUUUGAUUCUGAAGAGAAAGUGUGAUACUUUGUUACUGUAUUACUCUUGCUUCUCAUCACUUUGGCUUUCUUGUUCAGAAUAGCUUAAAAAGAAAGGGACUGUCUGAAAAAUGGUGCUGAGAAGACCUGGCAGGAACAGGAAUUUCAACAGAGAGAAUCCAGAUAUUUUGAUUAUGAUGAUUGCAGUGGAUCAGAUAAUAAGAGGUUGUGAGCAGGACAAAGGAGAUGGCACAGAGAGGAAGGGGAUGGGCCCUUUAAAGCCUGCAACAAAGAGUGAGUGGUUUCUGCAUCCCAAGAGCUAUGGUCUCUCCUCUUUCUUGCUCUCCACCCCCUGGUUUUCUCUUGUGCGGCUGAUACUUCCUUCUAUCUUUAUUUAGUGGGUCCAUUUCCUCCAUCUCCACCUUCAUGCAGAGUCCUCUUUUUUGCCUCUUCACUCUCUCUCUCUUCCUUUUAAUGGUUCUCUGAGAUGGGUGUCAUUCAUUUUCCAGAGCUGUACGUAUUUUAGCUUUAAAGUUUGAGAACAGAGAUUGAGAUUAUACAUCUCCCUGCCGUUCAAUCCUCCAAACUUAAGCUUCUCGGGGUUUGAGCGCUUGAAGCUAUUCCAUUCUCCUUUUUUCAUGCAAAAUUUUGUAUCACUUUUCUUUUACCAUCGGCUUUAUGUUGUUGUGAUUUGGCAGAAGCCGGAAAAGUGGGAAUACAGCACCAGUCAUUAUUACUUCUUUUCCCCUUGUUUUUUUCUAUAAAAGCAAAGCUUCUCUUCCACUUUAUCUGAACUUUCACAAUGGCACCCUUUUCUGGAGAAACAAAAGAAACCAAGUUCUUUGAAUCUUCUCCUUUUUCUUUUUUAAGUUGUCUUUGAUCACCUGUGAGUGAAGAACCAUAAAGCAGUGAACAUUAUAGCAAUUUUUUUUCGUUUUAUAACUUGCAGGUUUAAAGCUCUUCACUAAGCCAUCACAUCCAUUUAAUUUGCUUAGAAAUUCAGGACACGGUCAUUUUUUUUUCAGGGGAUUUGGUGUGGGGCUUUCGCUCUAAGUUUCUCAUCCUAUAUAGGAUGACAGAGAUUCAUCAAAUGGAAGGUUGGUUUCUUUGUCAUUUUAUGCUAAUGGCUCAAUGUUUAUGUUCUGGCUGGUGGUUUACAGAGUGAGUUUUGAUGUGGACCUUUAUUUCUUCUGUCUUGUAUGAUGUUAUGUUUGUUCCCUCCUUUGUAUCGUGUGUCAAAAUAAAUUGAACAUCUUCAACGAAUGGCUUGUCAAUAUUAAUUUUUUGCUGGUCCCUAAACGUAACAUGCUUUUCACUCUUGUGGCAAUAGGUUCUGGAUAUGUUACAACUACUAAUUUCCCUUUCCAACUCUGAAUAAUAAUAAUAUAGCAUAGCCUGUCUCUAGAGGAAUGUGAAUUUGGAUGUCUGGAUUGAGCUGCAAGUUCAUUUCUUUUUCCAUUCAACUGAGAAGUUCAUUUUUUGUUUGAUAAUGCUAUAUUGACUUAUAAAUGCUAUUGAAAUCGCAGCUAAAAAGUGAAUGUGGUUUGAAUCGAGUAUGUUAAUCUCAGCUGUUGCUUUGGAUAAAGAAUGGUAGUUUUCCGUCUAGACUGCGUAUGGGUGGGCGAAUGAUUUGAUGAAUGCUCUGGUGGAUAUGGUAAACCCAAAUUCUGUUGUUGUAUGUGAAAUUCUGCCUCUUGGCUUUUAGAACUCAGUUGAUACGUCCAAUUAAUGAACUAAGCAAUAUUACAGCUGGAUUUCCUAUCUUUUUAAGUCUGCGGGAGUCUGGAUGCUCUGCUCUUACUAGUGCUGAUAAUCAUAUAGUUGAACAAUUGACAUUUUGAGGUUUUCCAAUGUCUACUGCCCUGCAACGAAUCGAUAUGGGAGAUGCUUGUCUGGGUCCCUCUGGUAAUGCUGAGUUUCAAAAUCAAUUGGCAGUAGCCAUUCCUAUUUCUCUGUUUCAAUCUACCUCUCUUGCUCCAGUGAAUGAUAUUCGUGGAAAUACAAAAGAUUCAGCAUUUCCAGACCCACAGUUCCAGCAAUUAGAAACCUUUAGAACGUGCUUCUUACACAGUUACUCUAAUGCUUCAAAUUCUUCAUUUGCAAGUUCUCUGAUCUGUGAAGGUGAUGAGUCUCUAUGUAAUGCAAAUAAUAAGUGGGAAAGCGAUAGGUUUCAUUGUAUUCAGCAACUUUCUGGGGAGAAUCCGGAAACAUCUGAUUCCCAGACCGUCUUGUCCAUGGAACACCUGCACCAGAAUGGCUGGAUGUCAUCUAACACUAUGAACUCUAAGUUAUGGAAUGAGCUUUCUCUAAGCCUUGCUACAACCGAACCCGUCCUCAGUGGAGGAACUGAUUUCCUGGACCAGUAUUCUCAGUUGACUUUUUCUGGUGCUACUCAACCUUGCUUGAACAGCACAGAAUUAGCCUCGAACUUAAAUUCAGGCAGCUCUAGGGACCUCUCUCUAAGUUAUGGAUGUGGUAAUUCUGUUCGCCUUUCUCGAGCAAUAGCAGGAUCUAGAUAUCUUUCGGUCAUUCAAGAUGUACUUUCUCAAAUUGCAAGCUAUCCACUGGAAAACUCAGAUCAAGUUGAUCAUUCAACUACUGCAACUGGGUUUGUGCCGUUGUCAUCAUCAAGUUCCCUGGAUGAUGCAACGAUUGAAUAUGGUUCUGAUGUUACUGGUAGAUACAGUUCUCAAAUGGAGCCGGAAUGGCAAAAUCUAUCUGUUGAUGCCAAGAAGUCCCAUCUGUUGACUCUACUACAAUUGGUUGGUUAAUUUAAUAUAGCGUUUCUCUGAUUUUUAUCUUUUUACCCUUCUUAUACUGAAAAACUUGAUAGUGUUUCAGAUUGAUGAGAGGUACACUCAAUGCUUGGAUGAGAUUCAUACCGUUACUUCUGCGUUUCAUGCUGCUACUGAUUUGGACCCUCGCUUGCAUACUCGAUAUACACUCCAGACGAUCACUUCGGUGUAUAAAAACUUGAGGGAGAAGAUUACCAGUUGUAUUUUUGCUAUUGGGAAGCAUUCUAACGCAACGUGCACCAAGGAGAAGGAAAAAUUCUUUGAGGCAACAUUCUUACAGAAGCAGUGGGCUCUCCAGCAGUUGAAAAGGAAAGAUAAUCAAUUAUGGAGGCCACAGAGAGGCUUGCCUGAAAAAUCUGUCUCCGUUCUUAGGGCAUGGAUGUUUCAAAAUUUUCUCCAUCCGUAAGAUUUUGUGACAAAUCUGGUUUACUUUUUGAAGAUACGUAUAGUAAGUUGAAGGAAUGUUUGUUCUUUGGUGAUUUUUCAGGUACCCCAAGGACACAGAGAAGCAUUUACUUGCAGUAAAAAGUGGAUUAACUAGAAAUCAGGUUCUUGCUGCUUCAAGAUUUCCUUCAACUUUCAUGAGUUCUCCUCACUUUUACUGAGUUCUGCUAUUCUGGACUUUGGACAGGUGUCUAAUUGGUUCAUCAAUGCUCGUGUCCGAUUGUGGAAACCGAUGAUCGAGGAAAUGUAUGCUGAAAUGAGCAGAAGAAAAUCCAAUCAAAAUGAGGAGGGAAUCGAAAGAAUUCAUUGUCCCAGAUAAGCAUUAGCAGUGAGAAGAUGUGGCUCGAACUGUGAAAAUGAUAGACAGUAUUGAGCACUGUAUGGAACUUGAAUUGAUUAGAAAAGUGUACUAGACUGAAUUAAAUUCAACUAUAUAUUCUUUUUGACAAUUUAACCUGAGAAAUUUCUUUAGCUUCGCAUUCCUGGCUACAUCAUAAUAGACAAUAAAAUGCAAUUAGUCAGCAGAGAAACAUCACCACAAACUUCAUUCUGAAAAGAAGGAAAAAGAAAACACGAUCAAUAAGCGAAGUUCAAUCUAAAAACAUUAUUUAUUAAUUGAAAAUAAAUAAUUCUGAGAUUUACAGAGAAUGGUGCCCUCCUCCUCAACUAACUCUUUUGAUUACAAAUGAAAGAAUGACAAUUUCUGAUUUCUGCCUAGAAGUUUUCACUAUCAAAUAUUCUGUUUCCUUCUUUAUCUACACCCCACACCCACACCUCUCAUUCACGAACUGAUGGAUUGCCAAAGAAAAAACAAAAAAAACUGUCCCAACUCCUCACAGUACAUAUAAAUACAAAAAGUGAUUAAUAUUUUUUGUUGCGCCUCCUUUCAUCGUCUUGUUGUUCUAGACUUGCAAGGAGAUUCUUGUUUUUAUCGGUUUCAACUUCAAUCCCAUACUUUCUGGUGACAGAAGCUCGGGAGCUAUGCAAGAAGGGCUCAAGGGGCUUCUUGGGCUGACGCUAAAAUGAGAUGGCCUAUACAUGCCAUAUCCCAUGAGAAAAUACUCCAUAGGUAUCAACAUUGCAUCAGGCUGCUCCUCUGUCACCAUUGACCCACAUGACUGAACCUAAGAUGUGAGAAUAGCCCCUUUUAAUUCAUAGUAGUAUAAAGCUCGGUUUAUGAUUUUCAUGUAUAUUUAAUCUCCAAAAAGGAAAAAAGAAAGUUCAACAUACUUCCACUAGGGCACUGUAUCUUCUGUCUAGUUUGACAGUCAUGUGGUGAGCCUCUGAAUGGAACGGGGACCUGUCCCCAACAAAUAUCAAUGAACGGCACUUUAGUUUCCGUAACCCUUCUGAAAUGUCGGGUCUCCUGCAUGAAAGAAAAAAAAAGUUUAGGAGGGCCUUCGACCCCAUAUGUGUAUCAUCUAACUAAUGUAAUUUCACAUCAGAGGUAUAGAGGAAAAGGACCCCAACAAUUGUCAAGCACAAAUUCAAAGAUUGGAGUUAGAUGCUUACCCAUUCAUUGCUUCAAGAAACCUCCAGACGUUUGAACUUUGCCUCUCGUCAAGUGACUGUAGAAAGAACAUGAUCAUAAUGUUUGAUCAAACAAAUGCUCAACUCUUAAAAUCUGUCAAGUUUUCCAACUCUGGAAUAACUGACAGUUUAAAGUUGCUAAAAGAAAACGAUGAAAAUGCUGCAGUACUCACUCUUCUGCAUGCUUGAACUAAAUCUGACUCUGGUACUUGAGAACAACCACGAGCAUCCUACAACCAGCACAGUACAAAUGUCUAAUCAAACUCAGUUGGGAUGAAUAACUCUAGUAAGAGAGUUUGAGUUUGUGCAAGUAAACCUGCAGUUGGUCUGUGUUUAAGUUGAGAAGAAAAAAGAGUUUAAAAGUUCACACGUUCAAGUGCAAUUUUCAUAUCAUCAAAUUGGUUUUGAAGGAAUAAAAACCGAUUUCAUGGUGAUUUUGAAAACAAAGCAAUUUUCAUUUUUAGACCUACCUUACUGAAAUACCGCUUCAGCAACAACUCCUUCACUACCCCACACAUGCCAUAGAAAUAAAGCAAAUUUGACAUCACCUGCAUAUGGAAAAUCUGUUAAUAAGAUGAUUCCAAUAAACCAGAAGACGAUCAUAAUAGUUCUUUCGUUCAGAAAGACGACCUUAUUAUACAACCAUUCUGUCCAACAGGGCGCUGUGCAUAUGGGAGAAAUCAAUAUCAAACCAUGAACACGAUGUCUGUGCUUCAUCUGCAACCAACAAGUGCAAUCAAUAUAUGACAAAAGUUUACAAGAGGAACUGAAAGAAAAAACCAUGGGGGGGAAGGAUAAAGUAAUCAAGUGGAUGGUGAACAAAGAGAAAAAUUACAGCAAAGAGAGUGAGGAUGUAUGCUCCAGCAGUAACACCCAUACACAUCACAGCACUAAGUCUGGGAGAAAGAUAAAGAAGAAGAGUAAGUCAUCAGAUCCGUGCAUAUUCAUUUCGGAUAGAGCUCAAGUGUAAAACAAAUAAAACAGCAAAGCAUCAGACCAGUGGAAUUCAAAACUUUAAACAAGUCGAAGUUAUUAAAAAAAAAUUGAAGAUAGCCAAAAGGAAUAUCGAAUUACCCAAAAUAGUUAAGAACUUCAGCAAUUUGAUCUGCUAAGUCAUCUGCAGAAAGUACAGGAUCAUCAGGGCAAAUUGCAGCAGCUCCUAACUGCAACUCUUGAACAAGGUCCCAUUAUGAGAAGAAUUCAUGUGGAAGUAAAAAAGACAACGUACUUGUUGGAAAGUUCAGUUUCAUUGAAGCAACACCAAAAAAAAAUUACACAGUAGAUUAUUUUGUACAUAGCAUAGAUUAAAAGAAAUUCACUCGUACAAAGUAAUUUAUUUUAUGUAUGUGUGUGGAAAAAAAAAUAAUGACAUCAGUAGAGAUAUUAGAACAUCCCAAUUAUACAAACCUCGUGUCCGGGAGGGCUGAUAUGAUAUAUGCAAAAGUUGUGAAGCAAUAACGAACAAGCUUCUGGACAAAACAUUAAUCCUUGGAAGCAGAACAUAUCUGAUAAAUAAUAAAACAUAGCACGUUUAAACAUUGGUAACAGGAAAAAUUAAAGAAAGAUUCUAAAAAUCAAAGUCACAAGUCAUAGAAUCAUUUCAUUUUAACCCCAUAUCACAAUUUAUUAACCUUACUAUCCUCUUUAAAUAACUUAUUUUUGUCUAUUUUCAAAGAAUAAGCUUGUCUAAUAAAAAUAAUGGAUUUCAAAAGCUACUAUUAAAAGAUUUAACAAUUAUGUGGGUGAAAACAAACCAAAAAGGCAGAUGUUCCAGCAAAAGGACUGUAGAUAAUAGAGGUAAGAAUAACCAAUAUUCUGGAUUCCAAAAAAUUCAACACGUUAAAUUUAAAACAAAAACUCCAUCUAAUCAACCUUAAACUCCAAAGUGUGUCUAAUUUAUUCAAAGACUCCACUUCUACACUCAAAAUCAUGUUUUGAAUAACAAUUUACAUGACACAUUCUACAUACUCACGAUUUAGAGCUAAAUCGGGAUAAGUGAUUAAAGCUGGCUUGUCCAGGUCUCCAACCACGGUGACAGAAACAACACCAUAACAGGUUUUCACAAGAUACUCCUGCCAAAAAAAAAUCGAUUGAAGAAAUAUUAGUUUUCAAACGUAGUCAUCUGAACUAGAGAAUGGACGCACCAAAAAAAGGCGGCAAGUAAUACAGAACCAUAAAAUGAACUACUAUAAAAAGGGAAUUGCAAAAGCUUAAAUAUAAGGAAAUUCGCAGUUGAAGACGCAAACAAUAAAACAGAUUAAAGAAAGUUAGUCUACUAAAAUUCAAAAUGUAUUUCUAAACUAGUAAAAAUCCCAACAUCCAUCCACUUUUGGUAGACCGUUGAAUUCCGAACGAAAAUCAACACCAAUUACCCUUAGAAAAUCUAACUAAAAUCAACAAUGCACAUCCAAAAACCUUAAUUACCUCCGUGUAAAACGAUCACUAAUUACACGAAUUCAUCCAAUAAAAAACAUAACGAACCCCAUGUUUCAAUUCAAUCCAAACUUCCCAGCAUGUUCUCAAAAAGCAAACAAAGCACAGUGUUCAAACACAUGAAACCAGACGGAUUUACACAAGCAACAGGAAAUGCAGGUACCUUUCCUCCACAAGAGAUCGACUCCAUAUCCACCGAAACCGAGUCGCUCGAAUCCCCCAUUUCCUUCUUCCCUUAUUCUCUCACCUUUCUCUCUUCCCCUAAAUCCUCCUUCCCUUAUUCGCUACUCAAUACACAGAAUGCUCCUUCUUCCUUUUAUAUACCACCAAAUCUCUUCAACAAUUCCACCACUACAUUAUUUGGGGGAAAAAUUUCAACUCGUCCCUUCGAAUCGUCCGAGUCAAUACGAGUCACCGACGCCGCGUUCCCCUUCCAUCGCACAUUGACAGAAACCUCACGAGCGCCCUGUAACGAACAAACUAUAACCCGAUACCCUGGUUGGUUUAACCAUGGUUAGGAAGCCGACAGUUUAUUUGAAAUUACUUAAAUACCCACAAUUUCCCUUGACAGCGACCUCCUCUCUUACCACAUGAAAAAGGGCGAUUUUCGUCUAUUCACGUUGAUUUUUUAAUUAGUAAUAAAGAGGGAAAUAGUAAGUAGUUAAGCUUUGACUAAGGAAGAGAUAAAAUGAAAAUAAAAUUAAUAUAAGGGAAGUGUUAUUUUUAUUUGUGGGACCUGCGUUUAUUUAAAGUAACGUAAUCAUUUAUAUUAUAAAGUAUAUAAUCUGUCACAAAUUUUGGGGAGAGGUUUUUCCUUAUUUUUCUUUUUUCAAUUAUUCCAUUUAUAAUAUGGUAUUGUAUUUUUGUUAUUUAUUGCAUUGCCUAAAAGUGGGGAGUGGAUUUAAUGAAAAUAAUUUUAGAGGAUCUACUUGUUUUUAAAUUAGUUUCUGUUUUUGUUAAUUUUGUUUAAUUACUUUUUUUUGUGCAUAAAUACAGUUGAGUUUUUAAUAGUAUUGUUGCACCAUUAAAGUUAAAACCUUUUCUUCUUCUUUUUCUUUUUAAUAAGGUUAGUUGUCAUAUACCAUAUUUUCUUGCCCUAAUAGAUUUCAUCCGUUUAUUGAAUAAUAAAUUAUUGCCUUUUUAAUUAAACUUUCUAUAAUACUCUAAAAAAAUAUCAUUUCGGGAUGAUUUUGUUUGGUAUAGGUGUGAAAAUGAUAGAUUGAAUCUCCAACUUAGUGAAGUAUAUGUGAAACAAAGUUCAACUGACAUUAGAUGUGUAUUGUCACAUUCUAUGUUAAAGGAUACCGAAUUCAUGAAUCUUCAAAACAAAAAACAUUAAACAAUAACAUGCAUCCAAACUAUUGUAAUAUUUUCGUGUGAAUGGUGUUGCUUGAGCGAACAUUUUUUAUAAAUAACAAUGAUGAAAUGUUACAAUUCUAAAAAAAAAUAACUAAAUUUUUUUUCAAUUUUUAUUACCCUUUAUUUUAUUAAAGAAAUACCAUUGAAACCCUUCUUAGAGAUUUUACUUACAGUGUCAAUUAUUUACGUAUAUACUUAUAGAACAAAAUCAUUAAAAUAUAUAAUUUGUUAGGUGUAAAUACAUCCUUAAAUGUUAUAUUUUUUUACGAAUUUUUCCUUAAAUUUGUAUAGAUUUAAAAAUAUUUGAUGUUAUAAGUUAAUAAAAGAAAAUGGUUGAAAAAUGGAAGAAUGUCCACGUGUAAAACAUAAGUAAAGAUCUCGACCGUGUAAUGUUUUAAGGAAUGCAAUCGAAAUAUUUUAUCUUUCAAAUAAAAUAAUACAAAAAGUAAAAAAGAUAUAUAUAUAAUAUAUAUAUAUAUAUAUAUAUUAAUAAUAACAUUAACAUAAUAUGUUUAAGAGAAGUGGAAGCAUAUAAUAUGUUAUCAUUCUUAUCCUCUUUUCUCUUUAUGCUUUACUCUGUUUUGGAAUUUUGGUCCACUAAAGAUAAGUGAAUGCUUCUUUCUUUCUUUUUCUUUUGAAAUAUUGAGAGAAAGAAAUGGUUGAUCAAAAUAUUAUAAUAAAUAAGUAAAAUACAACAUUUUGUUUUAUAUAUGCACGUUAUAUAUUUCACUAGGUUUGGAAAAUGAUGCGAUAUAUGUAACUCUAGAAUAUCAAACGUGGAGGAAUUUUAUUUGCUUAUUUGAUAAAGUUCUUUUAAGUUGAAAAGUUCACGUUAGUUUGUAAUUAAAACUUAAAACAUCGUAGUAAAGAUGAGAAUUAUCUUAACACAUGCAAUGUAGUGCAUCGUUUCUCAUCCAAACUUCAUUGUAUUGUUUGUUCUUCGUACUUCAUAUUGCAAGUGUAUUUUUAAGGUUUUUUUUUUCGUAAAUUGAUAAUACAAUUGCAUCAUACAAUUAAGCUAAGUUUGUUUGUUCUUUUAAGCAAAUUAAAAAUUAACAUGGUGUGUCUCGUACUGUUUUAAUUUUAGUUAUACUUGUUAAUUGAACAUUAUUAGACAAUUUAAUUCAAUAGUUGAUUUGUUAUAGGAUACCUUAUUUAAAUUAUAUAUUUAUUAUUUUGUUGAACGAUGAAUCGAAGACUAAUAUAAUACAUAUGUGAUUAUGUAUUUUUUUUCAAAAUGUGAAUAUAUUGCUAUAUUUAUUUGUUAUAAUAAAUCUAUUUACAUUCGAAUAAAAAUAACUAGUGAAUUUUGUAUCUUUUCAUUUAAUUUGUCUUCUAUAUCUCACAACAAUUGUCAUGCAUGGCAUGAGUUGGUCCCACGAAAUUAAAACAGUGAAUUGAUUGAGCAAAAUAACUAAGUUGGAUUUUGAUGGUUAUUAAGCAACGAUAAAUCACACAAUAAAUUAGAUAUUCGACGUGCUCUUAAGAGCAAUAUAGAAAGUAGAUAGUUAUUACAAGAAUAAACGAUGAAAUCACGUCAACAAAGUAAAAAGAAAAAGAAAAAACAACACAAUAAUGUUGAAAUUUUUGUUUAAUCAUAUUUUAUACUUUAUCAUGUCAAAAAUUAAUUAUGUACUCUCCAUCAACAAUCUUAAAACAAAGUCUUUAGUUUUGUAUAAAAAAAAAUUGAUUAAUAAAAACAAUUAAAUAUGGUAUAAAGUAAUUUAUAUAAUAAACCUUUACACAAUUUAAAAUUAAUAAUAAUGCAGUAAAUCGUGAUGUUAUUAGUAAAGGAAUGGACAAAAAAUCGCACGCAUGUGUCACGUGAUUAAUUAUUAAAUAGUAAAAUUAAACAUACCAAAUCACAUAAUGAUUUUAAGGUUGGAAAAUGAAUAUAUUUAACCAUAAAGUGUAGUUAGGUGAUGUUAUUAUUUUGGAAUUUAAAUGGGACAUGUAGUGCCUUUCCUUAAACUAGAAACCAUGACCAAAAAAAUUACUGAGGACGCAAAAAACUAUGCUAUAAAAUAAAAAGCAACGUCUGAAUUGAAGUUCUAAUGUCCUUCCCCCAUCAACAACAACCAUUAAUAGCUCCACCCCAACUCAACACCAAAAUCCUUUUCCAAGUUUAAUCCUUAGAUCUACUCAUCCAUUCUUUGUUAUACUAAACCUUUUUCACUGUUACAUCAAUUUUUUCAAAAGGUUCUAGAGUCAUCAUAUGACGUUGAAUUUUAUUUUUUUUCCGCUAUCUUCUUUAUCAAGUUUGAAAGGUGGUUCGAUUUUUCAUUUGGUUUAUAUAUCUAGAUAUCAAAUUGAACCAAGGAGAUUUGUUGUAUAUAAAAGAAACCACGUCGAUGUACAUAACAAAAUAAAAAAUCAACUUUUAUUCGAUUCAAUCGACUUUUUUCUUUUGAAAAAUUAAAAAAAUAGCAAAUUUUACAAAAUAUUUACAACUUAUAGUAAAUUUUGUAAAUUCUAGUGAUAGUCACCAACCAAUAGAAUCCAAAUUUUUGUUAUAACUUAUAAAAUAUUUUAGUUUAUUUUGUUAUUUUUAAAAAUUGUAUUCUUUUUAUUUAUCAAAAAGGAAAUAUAUGACUUUUUAGACUAUAUAUAUAAUAAUAACAAAAAAAGAGGGAGAAAUAAGAGAAAUAUGUAAUAAACUAUUUUUGUCUUCUUCCCAUUUAGCUUGCUAGUGCAUGUAACCUAUAUUCUAAGAAAUAAAGGGAAAAUAAUUAUAUUGGGGACUUUUGAAUGGAGAUAGCUAUCUGUUUACAUUAAUUUCAACAUUUACAAGUAAAGCCAUAAACAAUUAAUAUUGAUGAAUUUAUAUGUGAAAAAGCUACCAUAUAUAUUAAAUAUAUAGUUUAAAUUAUGCUAUAUAUUUAUGUUUCUUGAAAUGGAAAACAUGUUAGGAUGGUUACGUUAUUCAUUUUUAACUUUCCUCCUUGAUUUAUGGUUGCAAAAUUCAUAAUAUAACUUUUAAUAAGUUGACUAUAAAAAUCAUUAGAUGUUAUUCGAAUAAUAUCGGUUAAAUUAGAAUAAUAUAACACAUUAAAAAUAUUUGGACACACCAUAAGAUGCCCAAAUUAAAUGUUUAACUAAUACAAAUUAUCUUUUUAUUGUUUGACAACUUAAUUUAAUUUAAAGAGGAAAUUUCUAAUAUAAUAGUUUCAAAAUUGUUGACCACCUAGGCCGCUACUAAGAAUCGUGUGGAAUCUAUAAUUUAUUAAUUAUAAUAAUUAAUGGAAAUGGUAGGUAAUAUAAACUUCUACUAGUAUCUCUUAAAGUUUAAAUUUACUAUAAAGAAAAUUAGAAUUUGAGUGGAAAUUAAAUGGUCUUGAAUUUGGAAAGGUAAUUAAUUCACCUAAAUGGAUAAACAUCUAUAAUUUUUCUUUUUCUUUUCCUUCCAACUCGUAGGCACCUUACUAUGAUGCUAUAUCGAAACUAUACUAAAAUUAGAUGUACUUAUAAAUAUUUUCUAAUAUGCUCUCACUGAUUCCAUGUGAACCCCAAAAGGAAAAAAAAACGUUAAACUUAACCAAAAAAUCAAAAGUAAUUAAGUAAAAUCUCAUCGUCAAUUAAUUUCAAGUUUGGUAUCAUGGUCGAUAUCAGACCAUGUUGAAAAUUUCACACAUUGAACAAACUAAGAAAACUCACACUAAUACACAAUAUAAACCUUGAAUGAAACAAUAAGUAGAUAAAUAUCUCGUUACUCGAACAAAUCAUAAAUAGAAGAUGUGAAAGGGAAUUGAAUGGGAGGGAGGGAGUGAGUGAGAGAUGUUUUUAAAAAGGAAGAAAUAUUUUUGGGAAAAUGAGAGAGGGGGAGAAAGCAAUUAAAAGCAUGGGGGGGACAAUUAAUGACAUUAAUUGAGAGUAGAGGCAUAAAGGUAUAGAAGGAAAGGGGGAUUGGAAAGAAGAAGAAGAAGAAAUGCAAUAAUAGCCAAUGGCAAGCAUGUGAGUGUCCUUAACAAAAGCAUUGAAAAUUGAUUGCCCAAAUGAAAUAGUUUUACUUCUGAUUUGGCGCUCUUUUUGCUGCGGCUAUCGCGUUCACAUGUGCUUCUUCCCCCCUCCCCUCGCCCCCAUAUGUUGCUUACCACUGCCCUAACUUCAAUCCUCCACCGACACAUUUCAAGCCCUUUUUCUUUCCUCUUUUCAAAUAUCAUCCCUACCUCAUCUUUCUUUAUUAUAACAAAUUAUUCUAAACUCUAAUUCAAUAUUUAUAAAAUGUAAUAAAAUUUUAGAUUUUGUAGUGAUAAACGUUUAUGAAAGACUGUUACCGGCUUGAUGAUUUUUGUUAUAUUUGAAAAUACUCAACUUAAUAUCGCUUUUCUUUUAAUAUUUGAGGUUGAAUGUAUGUUAAUUAAUUCGUUUUUCGUUAAUUCUUAGACACUAACGUUAAACAACAAUUAGAGCUAGUAUAUAUUUAGUACCAACUACAAUUGAAAAAAAGUAUAAUAUAUUGAAAUUUUUUAUAAUAAUAAUAAUAAUUUAUAAUUUGUUUUCAAAUCCGAAUAAUUAAUAGACUAAAGUGACCAUUAAUUAUCAAAUAUUGGUUUGGGAAUCAAAACAGAGAGACGUAGAUUAGAUCACAAGUGUGGAUAGUGGAUAAAUAAAUUAGAAGGAUAGAAUAUUCAAUUCAUUCAAACCAGAAACAUUUGAAUAUGGUUCAUUAAUUACUCAUUAUAUUUUAUCUUCGUGAAAUUUAAAUUAACUAGUAUUUAACCAUUUUUCAGUAAAGAUUUGAUCGAAUCUUGAAUAUUUUGGUUCUCAACACAUACAAGUACCAAUUGAAUUUAAUUUUUAUGAAUGAUUCACCAAUAUUACGUUGAAAAAAGCGUUUAAAUUUGUUUCUUUUAAAUAUUGCAAAAAUAAAUUCAAACCAUAUACACUCCCUGUCCUCAAGUAUUUUUUAUAAACCAUAUUAUAUAUAUUAUUAUGUAUUUGUGUAAUGUGUCGAAUAAAUAGUUGGAUGAAUUUUUGCUAUAUUUAUAAUAUAUGGUUUGAAUGUUUGAUAUUAAUGGGUAUUUGAUGCAUAACCAAUCAUUAAAUAAGAAAGAAGAAAAAGGGAAAAAAAGGGGUUCUGCCCAUAAUAAAAUACGUGCCGACAAUUCAAUUCACACUCACCUCUCUAAGCUUCAGAAUAAUUAUUAAAUGGUGGGCUAAUGAUAAAUAGAAAAUAGUAAAACUAUCAAAUUUUUUUUUUUAAUUUCUAUCUCAUGCAUUAAACUAUGUAACAUUAUUAGUCCUAUAGUAACACCUCAACCAAAGCUUAUGAUAUUUAUUUUGACAUUACAUUGAUAUAUUUGAUAAGGUCUCUUAAUCAAGGAUUCUUGAAUGUUAGCUUUUAAUAUGUAUUUGCUUGCAGUGGAUUUUUUAAAUACUUUGUUGUUGUUGUUUUUUUUUUAUAUAAUUAAUAUUUGACUAAAUUGAAAAAGAACACUCAAGUAUUAGUAUAAGUUGAACAAAUUCCUAUUUGUUUUGAUUUAUUAGAAAAAACUAUGGGCCUGGCUGUAGCUCAAUCGUACUUAGAUUACGGGCCGUUCUAUAAGGCACGGUUGGCAGAGCGUAGGCCCAAUACUUGGUGCUUAUUGCUCUGCCUCUGCUUUGCGAAUUGUUUUUGUGAUCCAAAAUACAUCUUAAUUUCUAAACUUGAGGUGCCGAUAGAUAAGUAAUAUGUGACUACUGAUAUUCGACGUAGAGAAAAGUAGUUAUUGACUUACGAAUAAACGUUAGGAAAACAAAGAGUAAAAUCAAAACAAACAUUAUCAAGAAAUGAAAAGAAAAAGUUUGUAUCAAGUGUGUAUCGUGAGUCACUUUUGUAAUGUAAGUUGGCAACAUAGAUUAACAUUAACAUAGAUGAUUCGUACUAAAUUUUGUAGUACUCGAUAGUCAAACUACAAAAUCUAAAAGUGUUUUUUCUUUGAUUAAAUUUUCUAGAUGAUUGGAAGUAAGUUUUAUUCAAACGAGGCAAGAGCAAUAAUAUUACGAAACAUCGAUUUAGUGUUUGUCAAGUCAGUUUUGCAAAGUUUAUCACUACAAAUUGAGUAAAUAUAAUAGAGUCACGUUUUGAAGGCCAUAUGUUAUAUGAGUUAUUUCAAUUGAAUAUACGAAACAACCAAACUCGUAAAAUUGUAAUUUAUUUACACUUUGUAACGUGGAGGAAAGAAAACCUGGAAAAAAGAAUCUAAUGCCAAGUCAACGAUGAGAUGAAAAAUAAGUCAUAAGUUGUUAGAUACAUCAGGUAAAAGUAUCAUAAUAACUUUACUAUUUUCUCAUGGAGGAAGGAUAAGAUAAAUUCUUCCUAUUUCUAAUAAGUUAGGGUAAGAUUUUAUUUUAUAUUUUAUUGACUCGUGACUUAUUCGAUAACGUUAAAUUUUAUCUCGAACGCAUGCAAAAGUUAUAUAUGGUAUGGGAAUAUUAUUUUUAAAAAAAUGUAUAAAUUAGAACCGUAAAAUUGUAUACAUAAAUAUGAAAAGGGAAAAUAAAUGAUUAAAGAAAUAAGUGAAGUAAAUAUUUGAAGCUAAAAAAAUAUUAAGAUUAAGUUAGAAGGAAAAAAUAUCGGAAGAGGAGAGAGACAUAGAGGGCGCCAGCGGGAUGAUGCUAUAAAUAUAAAUUCCCUACGCCAAAGGCGUGGUCAUUUAUUGAAAGGAAACCCAUCCUCUUUCUUGCCGUCCUCCGCUUUUCUCUUCUUUUAGGGUUUCUCUCUCAAACUCUUAACAAUGGCUGACGAAGCUCAGUAUUCAUCUGCUACUGAUACUCCUUCCAACAAGCGCAAGUACGAUGACCAACCUCCACCCCGCCGUCCAACUGGCUUUUCCGGUCCCAUCACUUCCCCUUCAUCCGAUUCCGCUCCCUCCUACAACAACGUCCCUCCCCCUAUGGAUGAGAUCCAGCUCGCUAAGCAGCGUGCUCAGGAGAUUGCCUCUCGCUUGAUUAUCUCCAGCGGUGGCGUUGGGGCUGGUGCUGGACCUGGCGUUGGAGCAGAUGUCAAACGUCCGAGGGUUGAAAACGGCGGCGGGUAUGACUCCUACGACAAGGGUUUUAGUUCUGGUCCAGGUGAUUAUUGUUUUGAUUUUUUUUAUCUUUGUUUGAAUAUUUCAUGGUCUUGCGUGUUUGUCGAAGGUGUAUUGAUUUUCUCACGACUCAGUGAGCUUAAAGUGAGUCAGGUCUUGUAUAUGGGAAGAAAAUAAGUGGGAACACUCGGAGAAAAUCUUGUGGAGUGCUAGUUAUAUAUUUCUUGUUCACAGGGAGUGGGUUGUGUACAAAAAGGUCCAGUGUUCGUGAUUUUCUAGAAGUGGCGUGCACUUUCUUUUAUUGCAUUUGGAGUAGAGCAUACGUAGGGGGAUGAAAUGAAGGUUUCUGGAUUUCAGUUUAGUGGUUUAGAUAGAGCUCUCUCAGUUAUCAGAAUGCCUAUGUUCCAUGUUCUUUUACCCUCGUUUCCUGUAAUAAUAACUUUAAAAUGUGCUGGUGAUGUAUUACGGUUUAAAAGCAAGAAUUGUGUACAUGUUUGGAUGCUCAUUGGUGAUCUUGAUUUGUGUGGAUGCAGACCUGAAGCCUCACAUGUCAAAUUCAGCCCCUUCAGCGAUACCUAUUUCCUAUGGUUUCCAAGGGUCAAGCAAGAAAAUUGAAAUUCCAAAUGGGAGAGUAGGCGUAAUUAUUGGUAAAGGUGGUGAGACGAUCAAGUACCUUCAGCUCCAGUCUGGGGCAAAAAUACAAGUUACUCGUGACAUGGACGCAGAUCCCAACUCUACUACUCGGAUGGUUGAGCUAAUGGGCACCCCUGAUCAAAUUGCCAAGGCUGAGCAGCUGAUAAAUGAUGUUCUUUCUGAGGUUGGUCUUUUCUUAAUUUUGGAAUUUCAUGGUGUGCCUUUGGGAGCGGCAUCAAUAUAAGUUUGUGGUUUCCUGUUAUAACGUUGACAUGCCAUGUAGCAAUACAUUGGUUUGGAUGGAUAAUGGAUUGACUACAGCCUUACCAAGUUUACAACUUUGAACUUUAUUUAUGGGCAAUAUGUUAUUCAUACGUCCGAUGCAAAAUAUGAUUGUAGUUGAAGAUAAGACUUUUUACUUGGCUUGAAAAUGUGUUUGUCUCAUAAAAUUUAUCAUUUGAAACAGGCUGAAUCUGGCGGUUCUGGCAUAGUAUCACGAAGACUAACAGGCCCUUCAGGAUCUGAGCAGUUUGUUAUGAAAAUUCCUAAUAAUAAGGUUCUCAGAAACAUUUGUUUUGGAAUUACCAAGUAUUGCUUGUCUAUCUUGGGAAUGUAAUUCUGUUCACUUUUUGUACUUCUGAUCGUGAAAAUAUUAAUUUUUCUAGGUUGGCUUGGUUAUUGGUAAAGGUGGUGAAACAAUCAAAAGUAUGCAAGCUAGGACUGGAGCACGUAUCCAGGUCUGUUCUAUCUUUAUGUGUAUAUAUGUAUAUAUUACAUACGUCUUUUAGAAGGCUUCCCAAAGCUAACUUCCGUUCCUUUUUAUUUCAAUAGUGCAACUAAUUUUCACUUUCUUUGGUCAUGUAACAUAGAACAUUGUUUUGAAUUUUGAUUGUAUGGCAAUAUCUACUCUUCUUUUCUGUAGGUGAUACCAUUGCACUUACCCCCUGGGGACACAUCUACAGAAAGAACCUUACAGAUUGAUGGUUCAAGUGAACAGAUUGAGUCAGCAAAACAGUUGGUUAAUGAAGUUAUCAGCGAGGUGCGUUUGCAGAUCUGGGUUACAUAUUUAUUUUGCCUUGUUGUAGUUGGAAUUAAUACCUGGUUAACACCUACUUCCAUUUAUUUUUGUGUUUAUAAUGAUUUUUCCUGCUUGUCUUUGGUUAUUUUUUAUACAACUGUUGAUGCAACUGUUCCAUCUUAUUCUGAAACUCCUUUAGUUCUAUUCUCACAAAAAAAAACUCCAGUUUUAUUAAUUUUAGGGUUCUACCUCAACGCCAAGGUCAGCAUUAAACCAGUGGUGUUGAUUGGACGUUGGCAUAUUUGCUUUCCUUACCUUGUAGUUUACAUUAUGCUGUGAUAUGGGAGGCAUCUGGUAUUCAUUGGCUUAAAUUAUACCUCCAGUUUUAUUUAGAAAAUGAUAUCUGCUUCUUGUUCUUGUUCUUUUUUUUUUUUGGUAUUAUGUUUCUCUUUCAAAUUAUGUUUUCUUACACAGGCUUGUUACCUUGUUUUAUUUGUUAUAAUUUUGUAAAAUCAUUCUACAACAUUAUGCUGCUUUUUAUUUCUGGGAGGAAAUAGUUGAGAAAAAAUUCCCGUUUUUAUGUGGUUCUGUCGGACAACUGACUCAACAAGAAAUUGAUUUAUUUUUUUCCUUCACUAAUGGUACUUCUUGGCUCUUCUUAAUUUUACUCUACUAGUGUAAUGGAUCUUCUACAAUUUCUGGCUUAAACACUAUACAAUAUGCUCAGCAUAUGGUGUUCUUGUUCCUUUAACGAACUAUUAAUCUGCUGCUGUGUCUGCAAAUCUGCAAAAUCAUUUAUUGCUAAUGCUAAUGCACUCAUGCUCUGCUAAUAUGCAUUAGCAUUUUGACUACAGUAGGAAGGCUUGUUCUCUCACUGUGCUCAUACUUUCGUCUUUGAGGGGGGCUCCCUUCGUAGGUCUAUGGAAUCAAAUGCUGCUUUGUGGUUUCACUCAAGGAAUUAGAAACAUUGGAAUAUUUCAGCCUGUUAUACUUUUAGAUCUCUUAUAGAUUGAGACAGCUUUUAGGUCUUUUACCCCUAAUCGAUCUGGAUUUGUUAUUAUAUCUGCAAUUGUUUAUUCUAUAUAUCCACUAAUGCAGAGAUGGAGGACAUAAGGUUCUGGGAUUGGAAAGAGGUGAAAUUAUUUUACAGAUUACUGCUUGGUAAUUUUUUGAAGAGUGAUUAUUGUAUCAGAAAGGUUCCCAUUGGUGAUUUGCUGGCUCCUUUGGAUAUUUCAGUUUAUCAGUCAAAUAUUACUCUUAUUAGGUUGUUUAGGUUAUAUGAUAUCUCUCCUAUUUAAGAUGUUAUCAGCCCAUUUGGUAUUAUUCUUGGUUUUAUAUCUAAGUGUUAUAUUAUUGGGAUUAUGGCCUGUUCAACCGUCACAUGUGCUUAUUAAUUAUGUAUCCUGCAACUGAUAUUGUUAUUGGGAACUAUUGUAGGGUUAGGGUUAUUGGACCAUUAGUGACACCAACAUGGAAUCCUUUAUGUUGGUGUUCUCUCAACGUUGCUCUGGUAUGGUUCUGAAUCCCAUAUUAUAAUGAUAUAAAGUGAUGAUGUGGAGAGAAGUUGCAGGUUUAUCUGUUGGAUAUUCAAGGUCUUUAGUAAAAUUUGAAAAGUCACCUUACCAUUCUAUCAUUCUUUUUCUGGUGGUUUACUUUGAUUUGGGAGAGUUUCAUCUUUUAGUCUAUAAAUUAUUCAUUUCUUAAUUGUCUAUUUACUGUGCGUACCAUUUGUGAAAUUAUUUUAGUUUAAUAUAGGCAUGCGGGUUAAUUUGUUGGAUAACUGUACUAUGAUGUAUUUUUGGUACUAUCAUAUUUUAGUGGCAACAUCACCUGAUCGUUCAGUGAGUCCGCCUUUGAUGGAUAUUCCAGAAAGUCCUUUAGACUCCUGUUUUGGUUUAAUUAGUUAUUAUUAUAUGUUUUCCACCAAAAAGAUGAAUUCUCUAAUUAUUAAUUUUUUUACUUAAAUUGACCUUAACAUUGUUCUUGUAAUUGAAGAAUAUUUUCUUGUUUCAAUCUUUAUGGGCUAUCUUUAGUUACUUUGGAGAUUAUGGAUCGUUUCUUACAAAGGUCUGUAUAUGUCAGUGUCUUCUUUUUCAUCGUCCAAAUUGCUUUUCAGCUUUUUUGGAAGUAUUUUUCUUUACAAUAAUUUGCAAUCAAAAUUCUUUUGACUAUAAAAUAUUUUUCACUUCAUAUUCUAUUGGUGUCUGAAGAUAGUGUAUGGGGUUGUUUAGUUUUAGCUUGAUAUCCAACUAAUUGAUUAUUCUAUAGAAGAUUUAAUAAUUGGGGAAGACAUUGCUUUUGUUGUGCUUUGCUAUGAACUUCUUUGCCUUUUGGGGCAAUUAAGUUCAUAUAUUCUGUUCUGUAAAAGCUUUUGUAGUCGUCUGGUUCUCUUUGCACCCAUUCACUUCGAAUAGGGAGAGGUUGAGCUUCUGCUGGAGUAACUCAAUAACUCAUCAUCCAGUACGGUAUGUUGGUGUUUUAUACUCUUCCUAAUGCAGUAUAAGCUCCUUUAAUCCCUCUACAAAACAUACUGACUAUGGUUUUCUUUUUGCAUAUCCUUGAUUUCAGAUUUGGCAUUUUCUUUCCAUUUCGCAUAAUGCAUAUGAAUGUUGUGCUUUCCUCUUCUUACCAUCCCCUACGUUGGUUUCUUACGUUAAUUGAGAAGGAUUCACCUUUGUUUUCAUUUUUAUGUUUAAUCUCUCAGAAUCGCGCGAGAAAUUCAGGUAUGUCAGGCGGGUAUAAUCAGCAAGGUUAUCAAGCUCGACCCCCUUCAAGUUGGGGUCCUCCUGGGGCUCCACCAAUGCAGCAGCCUAAUUAUGGCUAUGGACAACAAGGCGGAUAUUCUGCUCCUUCGUCUCAGUAUAACAUAUCACAACCUCCUUAUCAGGGUUAUUCCCAACCAGCAUCUGGUGGAUAUGCUUCCAAUUGGGACCAGUCUACUGUUCCGCCAAAUCAACCUGCUACUCAAGGAAGUGGUUAUGAUUACUACGGUCAACAGGCUCCACAGCAACAACAGACAGCUGGAGGCCCUGGUGCUACCGGAGACAACAGUGGUUAUAGUUAUGGUCAACCACCAGCCACUACUUAUAAUCAACAGGGUUAUUCUCAAGAUGGCUAUGGUGGUAAUUACCAUGCACCUCAGUCUGGUUAUGGCCAACCGCCAACAUAUGAUCAACAGGGUUAUAGUUCUACCACAAACUAUGGUAAUGUGGCUAACGCCACUCAAGAUGGGCUCAAUUCGUAUGGCUCUCAAGGGGACUCAUCACAGACGGUCCCUCCUGCUGCACCACAGCCCUCUUCAGUGAGUCAGCAAGGUUAUAGUGCAAAUCAACAGCCUAGCCCUAACCCAGGGAGUUACCCUCCACCAAGUCAGUCGGGGUAUGGAAUGACUGCACCUUCCCAAACUGGCUAUGGAAAUCAACCUGCUGCUCAGGCUGCUUAUGGGGCUGCUUAUGGAGCUCCUCAGACUCAGAAACAACCUCCUACUAAUCCUCCAGCCUAUGGUCAAAGCACUCAGUCACCAAGCACCGCUAGUGGCUAUGGGCAACCUGCUGGAUUGCCAUCUGGAUACUCAAGUACGCAGCCACCCGCAUCCGGGUACACUCAACCAGAUUCUGCUUCUCAACGUGCUCCACCAUCCAGUUACGGCACUGCUGCAGCUCAGCCAGGGUUUGCGCCACCUCCAUAUGGUGGUGCUCCUCCAACAAAUCAGUCAGCUUACGGGCAAGCUCCACCACCUUAUGGUGGCUCUUAUGGUGCUGGUUACCCUCAGCCCCAUUAUUCAUCUGAAGGUAAUGCAGGUGGUGCUACUCGUGGGGGCUAUGAUUCUGCAUCAGCUGCUCAGGCAGCGACCCAAAGUGGGGUUGCAAAAGCAUCACCAAAAAGUUGAUAAUAUUGUAUGUGUUUGCUUAGGUGUGUAUGUUGCGGAGAACGUAGCUUUGUUUUUGUGGUUUUUAUUAGACAGGUAGUUUUAUGAGACCUCAUUAAUGCCCGAAUUCUUUACUGUACUUUGUUUUGCUAUGGUUAAAAACGGUUCUGGAGUUUUGUCUCUCUUGAACAAAACACUCUUUCUCUACAGGCGGUGGCGUCUCCUUGAUGAUUUUGAUUUUUGAUUGUGGCGUUGGGGAUUAAGACUGUUUAGGAUUAUUGUAACUUUAAGCUACGGAAAUGGUAAAAUAGCAUUUAUUAAAUAAAAUGUUAGAUAUGAAAAAUUCUUAUUUCAAAUGUUUAUAUGAACUUAUAGCAAAAUAAUACAAAUACAUCUUUUAACAGAUCUACUUAUUCAAAAAAUUAUUAUAAUACUUUUUUCUAUUAAAAUUUAUGCGUUGUAAAAUAUUGAUGUGUGAUAUAUUGUUAUAGUAAAGCUGAAUCCUUUACUUCCAUGUGUGAUACAUUGUUAUAGUGAAUAUAAAUACAGAAGUACACUUGGAAAAACGGAAAAAUGUGUAUGGCAGGUGAACUUCUAUUUCUUUUCUCAGGUAAAUAUAAGUCUAACCCAAAAAAAUUCGGAUCUCUCCCCGCUGUAUCCUAGAUUCUUGUAUAGUUUAAAAGAAAUUAUUCCUAAAAGCCAUGAAUGCUUUGGGUGAAAGUAACAAGAUGAACGCAAGGACCGAACCAAAUAACAAUUUGAUAGCAUAUAGGAAGGGAUCGUGGUCAUCUGCAUCUGUUGAACUUGUGUGGGGUGCCAAUGCCGUUGCGGAUGGAAGGGCUUCAAUUACUGCAUCAGCCAAAUCUGAAAUGAAUGAAGAAUUGCAAUUGAGGGCAGGCACACGGCCCCAGUUUUGGAUUCCAGAUUCAAGUGCCAAGUGCUUAUACUCCAUAUCUAUCUCCUCGAGAGUCUCAAUGUGCUCACUCACAAAGCUGGGAAGAGACAAGUAAAACUAUUAUAAACAAAACGCCACCAGUGCAUAAGAAUAUCCAACUUCACUUAACACGCUUCACCUUCUCCAAGUCUUUCAAAACAAGUAAAACAAAUUGUAAACACGAUCAAACAGCAUACUGCUUAUAACCAGUUGAUUGUUUUAAAGCAAAAAACAGUUGCCUUUUUUAAUUUUGAAGAAAAACCACGUAAACAGCCAAUCUUUUGUGAUGAAGUUCAAAGUUGAGGAACGACCAAGAAAGCCCAAAAUUAUUCAAAGCACUUUGGGCCUAAGGUUCUCCAUCAUUAACACUAGCACAAGGAGUUCGAAAUAUAUAAUUGUCACGUGAAUUAACUUCAUUAAUAUUCACUCUAAGAUCAUAUGAGAACCAAGAUGAGAAGGAUCCCCUGGAAUUAUGAAGCUACAAGGAACCAAAAACCAAACAAUCAAAUUAACAGUUCGUCCUUUUAUGGUUUAUGAACAAGCCAUACCUCACGGGAACGGCUAGGAGACUCUUAAUACCCUUCUGGCCAAGCUCAACAAGAACUUCAUCUGUGUAUGGCUUAAGCCAUUGUACAGGUCCAACACGGCUCUGAAAAAUGUAAUACAUAACAAGAAUAAAAAACCACACGGAUGUAGUUAGGAAAACAAUGAAAUAAAAUGAUAGAAAAUCUGAAUAGUUGUUGGGGCUCAAAAUGUUAAAGAAAAAGAUAGGAAACCAUGCCAAGCUUCAAAUUUAUUACUAACCUGGUAUGCAAGAGUAUGCUCAUUCCCAAUUCCUCUGGCUUUCAGCUCUUGCAUGAUUAGGCAGAUGCACUCUUCCAUUUGAUCUUUGUAUGGAUCUCCAGCAUUCUCAACAUAACUGACGGGAACCCCAUGUGCACUAAAGAAAAUCAUGACCUAAGGUGCAAAUAAGUGAUGCUAUAUUAAGAACUAAUUGACUUGGACAUCCAUUGCUGCAUAAAAAUAAAGCAUCUCUCUAAAAUAAGUUUCAGCAAAAAUUAAGUACCUCUUGAGGAUUGGCAAAAUUCUUCAGCUCUGCCUGCAUCAAGUCAGCCAUUGACUUAAUAUACCCUUCCCGCUGGUACCAGGACUUUAUAAUUGAAACAGGCAACGAUGAGAGAUAUGCAUCUUCCCUGAUAGACAACUCAUAGUCAAUAAGUUAAGUUGGUAGCAGUAAUUUUUUUAAUAAUAACAAUAAAAUCAAAAUAUUAUAAUACUAGACACGAUCAUCACCUGAACAUCUUCUGGAGAACACGAAUACUAGACCCAGUUGUAGAAAUAGAGUACUGUGGAUACAAUGGCAGCACCACAAGUCUUGUUAUCCCAUCCCUCUUAAUCUGCCACACACAGCAAAAGGAACUACCAAUUUUAAACUUCAUUUCAAACAAUGCUUCAAACAAAAACGUGAGGUUACAGGCAUAUUAGGAAAUCCCGUGGUUGGUAGUAAUAUAAAAUUCUUCCCUCCAUUCGAAUUACAAGGCAAGGGGAAUAGAUAAAACAUAGAGCGUACUUGCUGAAUUGCUUCCUCUGUGAAAGGGUACCAAUAGCGCAUUCCCACAUAGACAUUAGUAGACAUGUUUUUCUCCUCCAAAGCCAUUUUAAGCGCUUGUGCCUGCAACAAGUAUUCACAAAUUAUCAAUAUUGAACAUUUGUUUUAUACCCAACUGGGAUAUGCCAUGAUGAACAAUUUGAAGGAAAUAAGAGAGGUCAAUCAACCUGUUCAUCUGUGAUUUUACGCAAAGGUGAGCCACCUCCUAUUGAAGCAUACCCUUCUUUGCUUUUGGGAGCACGGUAUGUAGAUAUUAAUUUUGCCAAUGGCUCUUGGAGGAAACGGAACAACCUUGGGAGUCGGAUAAUAUCCUAUGCAUCAUGAAAAGAAGUAAGAAAAAAGAGCUAUUGGCAUGUUAAUUUGUUGUUAAGACUAGUUGCAUUAAUUAACUAAGAUACCGGAUCUGCAAAUAGAUUGUACAGAAAUGGUUGGACAUCAUCAAGCGUUUCCGGCCCUCCAAGAUUCAAGAGCAGAACUCCCACCUUGUCAUCCACUGCCUGAGAUUGAGAUUCUAAAGCAAAUUCACCAACGGUGAAAGUUCCUACUGAGCAACAUGCUUGCCCCAGACGGCUUUUCUUCUCAAUGGGGCCAGAAAGAUGUAACCCCUGAAUUACAUCUCUGUCACCAUUGGAGCUAGAACAAGAAACCACUAAUCCUGUAGACCUAUCACGAACUUGCAGAUUUCCAGACGUUUUGCAAGAGAAAGUCACGCGAGAUUUCGGCAAAGAGCAUAACCUGAAAACAGGAAAAUAUACAUUGAAUUCCUAACUUCGACAAUAUAACACCUAAACCCCCCCUUAAAAUAUCAGUCACUGCCAUGACAUCCUCCAUACAAUAAAAUAACUAAGAAACUUCCUUCACAUCAACUCCAGCUACUAGAAUCCACGAUCACAUAACUUCACAUUGAUCGAACUAAAAGGACUGAUUCCAAGUAUACGACACGGGGUAACUUCAUCCAAUAAUCAACAUAGAGUUCAAAUGGGGGCGAAAUUUUAAAAGGGUACAAACGAUAUAAACCAAAAUCCAGAUUCCAAAGCAAGAAGAAAAGGUCGGUUAAGAAUUAACCGAUAAGGAACAUGAAGAAGAAGUGAUAUAAAAGAGAACUUACGAUGAAAUUCUUUGAUCCGAAUUGAGGGUAUUGGUGGAACCGUGAAGCUUGAUAUUGGAGAGGGCGAGAGAGGAAGAGGCGGCGUCCAUGGAGUCGAAAAUUGGAAGAACAACGAUCUAAAUCCAAAACCCGAGAAGAAAUUGAGUACAGAUAUGAGUGAGGAAGAAUGGGAUUGGUCGAUUAUAAAAAUUGGAGAAAUGGGAAACGUGGAAUCGGAAGGAGGAAGAACGGUAGAGAAGUCAAAGUUGGGGGAGGGAAGGAUCCGGGAAAUGGAAGCGCCAACCACUCUCCCAAGUCUCACCAUUAUAUAUUCAAAGUUUGUUUCGUGUUGAAGACUCAACGCAUCUACGUGUGGGCCGUACUCCUAACUUUCUUUAAUUUCUAAUUUUCAUCCAUAUAAUUAUAUAUAAAAAAAGUUAAAAUUUAAUUUCCAUAUUUAAAAGUUAGGAUUAAAAUAGAACAUAUUUAGUCAAAUUAAUAACUCGAGUUCCUCUUAAAUAUGUUCUUCGAUAUUUUUACAAAUCUCAUCUAAGUUCGAUGGUACUUAACUUAUUAAGUAGGAGUAAAAAUUGCUUAUUAAUGCUACAUAUCGCUACUAAAAAUUUAUCGAUAUCUAAAGUAACUAAUAAUUUUUGUUGAUUUGCAAUUUUUAAAAAUAUUGCUCAGCCCUACUUACCUAAAUUUUAAUUUUCUAAAAAAGAAUUAUUCGAUUUUUUUGGUAUUUACACGUGUAUUAUGUAGGUAGUGCAAAAACUUCAACAAAAUUGGUCUAAAUUUGUAUCAAAGAAAUUUAGGCAUUUUUGGUACUCACUACAUAAUACAUUUGUUCUGAGUGGUUGUUUGAUCCUUAUCUAAAUUACGAAAAAAAUAAAAAGAAUAAAUUGAAAUAAUAAAUAAGUUUCCUAAAAUUAACUAAAUUCCUUCUUUUCACCUUUGUAAAAGGUCAAACGUGGAAUGAAAUAUUAUUCAUUAUGAUCCAAAGAAAGAAGUAAAGGUGUCUAGUGAUAUCUUAUAACAUAGAUCACCAUUGAUAGCAAUUGUUUAUAAGAAGAGUCCAACAUCAUUCUUUCCAAAGAAAAUUCUCAUCCUAUGUUGAAAAUAGAUUAUCGUUCUAGAUAUGAAAAAUGAUCUGUCAACAAAGGUAAUCCAUAUUCUAUAUGAAAUUUUAUUUUGUCUUUUACCAGAUGGGUUAAAAGAUUUUUUUUUCUUCAAUAAAUACACAAGCAACCAUUAGAAUUCACAUCAUUUUACCAAGUUGAUUAAAUCUACACUUCAAUCCUUCUAAAUUUUCAUGGGAUGGAAAUUAAACGAGGGGCGGAGGCGAGGGAAUCAUCCCAUCUUGGUCAAAUUCCAAAUAUACCAAACCUAAAAAUGACCAAACUUCAACUUCAUUUGGGAAAAAAGGGGGAAAACAUAUUAUUUCCAAAUAUAGAGAAAACAAAAAUGGCUGAUGAUACUAGAAAUCAUUGAUUAUAGUGUAAAUUUGAUUGGUUGGAGCAUUAAGCAGAUGUGAAACUUGUCUCAACAGUCCGAACACUACUUGGUCAAAUUCCAAAUUUCCAAUCAACAUCAAAGUCCCAUUCUUUCCAAGAAACUAAUGAGAUUCUCCACUUACUAGACAAAAAGAAGGGUAGGAAGGAAAUGCAUGUAAAUGUAACUCAAAAUAGUUAAAAGUGUUAGGAUCCAGUAGAGAUUAUACAGACGAAAUAUUUUAGAGAAAGAAGGAUACUGAGUAUAUCUUCAUUCGACAUUUGAAAAUCCGGCACCACCUUCCGCUCGAGUCCUGUCCAUGGGCACAAGCUUAGUCAUUUAGGGGACUGAUAGGGUACAAAAGAAAGAUGAGAACAAAGAUAAUAAAGAGCAAGAAAGUCAAAGUGAGCUAGCUCGAUGGUAAGUGAAGUGUGCUAGCUCGAUAGUAAUUGAAAUAUACUCAUUUCUCUUUAGGUUAGAGGUUCGAAUUUUCACAACCCCAUAUUUUAUACUAAUGAGCAUACGGAACUUUCAUCGACUUUUUGAAAAAGAUAAACACCGGAACAAGCAAUGGAUAAGAAACUGUUAAUAGCUCAAUCAAGGGGCAUCCUCAAAUAAGUUGAGUAGACGGAUGUGAUCAAAACACAAGGACAAUAAUUUGAAAGAAAAUAAUUAUAAACAAAAAAGAUGGAUAAGGAGAAUGUAUAGCUAUAACGUAUGCAGUGUCUUCUACCGUGGAGAUUGAACUGAGUGAAAGACACUUCAGAUUAAUGCCUUCUUGGAGCCAAAGAACAAGUAAAAUAUUAUCAAUACCAUCCAUCAAUGGAAAUAGCACUUACUUGUGGUCAGAAGGAUUUGGUGUGAUUUCGUAGACAAUUGUUGCAACAACAUCUCUCUUUAGCUGUUGAUUAAAAUGAAGAUAUUUAGUUAUUUAAAUCAACAAAAUCAUCAACUGAUUCUUGCCCACAACUUUACCUGCGUGGCUUCACCUUUCAACCCAAUGUAGUGUAUCUGAGUCGUGUCACCACCAUAAUUAUCAGGAAAAUGCAAAGUGAUGUUUCCCACACCUUGAAAUUUGGAAUAUCUGAUUAUGUAUAUAAAUUAGCUGUCAAAAAAUAGUUGUAAUCUAACAUUGAAAGAAUUCACAGGCUCGAUAAUUAUAAGGGGAAAGAAAAUGCUCAAUUUUUUUGCUAUCAAUUCAAACAUUUUCAGAUGAUCUGAAAGAUAUGUUCCUCUAUAAAACAUCCUUACCUUGUUUGGUACUCUAAUACUCCUUGCAAAUUCUCAGCCAAAUCCCACUCCUAGAAUAAUAAAAAAUGCGUUACAGUUACAACAUAUGGUUAGGCGUCAAAAUUUCUCCAUGAAUCUCCGCCAGACAUGCUAACAGGUAGUACCUGAACAGCUUGCAUACUUUGAGCAUCUGAGAAGUCAAUACCUUCUCGAUUGAUAAACCUGAUUAUGAAGGAUAACUUGCGUAUAAGAACUAACGCAGGGAGAGAACUAGAAGGGAUAAAACUUAAUAUUCACAUAGAAAACCAAGUGUGUGAAAGUUCCAGAACAUCGAACUUACACCCUCAUCUUUGAAGGACUAGUACCAUCUGGACCACCAAUGAUAGAUAUGCUUUUGAUCUUAACAUCUGAUGUAAAUCUAAUCAUAAAAAAAGUGGUAAUGAAUUUUUAAGAAACAGGGAGAGUGCCAGAACACAAAAAGCGCACACCACAUAUAAGCAAUGUAGCCAUCGCUGCAAAACAAAGAUACAGGCACAGAAAUCUUCAUGACAUAAUAUAAAUUUUAUUAUCAGAUAACUAAAAUUGUUCUUGUGAUAUCUGCUUUCGAAGUUUCAGACCAGCCGACAAACACAUAGAUUCUUAGACAAACAGUUUUCUCUUGGUAGGAACACGAAAUUGCGUUUAGGAAGGGUAUGAAUUUACUAGGUGAAAUGGCUGAGCACCUAUGGGAAUUAUUUAGGAAGGCUAGAAGAAUAAAAAAAAAGGGGGGAAGUCGUGAUAAUUUAUGUCUUCACAAAAUUAUUUAUUUCCAUAUUCGCCCUGAGAUAUAUAAAAGGGAUGGUUGAGAAACUAUAAAUUUUAUUACAUUAAAAUGUAAAUUACGAAUAACCAUUACAAUAACUGUACUUAUUAACGAGUACAUAUCAAUGUUAUUAAGGUAUCAGGUAUAGUUAGAAUCCAAAAGUACAGGAACACCUACGGGAUGAAAACUAGCAGUUCAGGAUCACCCUCGUUGCUUUCCAAGUGAUCCUGUUGUAUAAAAACGAAAUAUAUGAGGCUACUUUAUCCUAGCAAUCGGGUACAUGGCACUGAUACACGCAGAUAUAAAGGUAAGGUACCCCAGAUGAGUUUAACCGAUGCUCCCAAGCUUUAAAUACUGACUUCACACUUCCUGGAGUUGCCUCAUUCAAAGCUGAAACCUAAAAAAAUAGCAGAACCUGUGAUCAUAAAUAAAAUUUCCACCAGUUCCUUUGAGGGAAAAAAAAUUAUAAUACGUGUGGGUUCGACAUGCAAUCUACAAUAAGAGUUCAAGGCUCUUCCAUAAAAGUUACUCAUAAGAUUCAAUUGAUUCCGUCCACAAUUAUCAACUUGCAUGAAACAUGCUAUUGACGGAAGGGGCAAUUGUCAUCCUUGUGUGAUUUUAAGAGUAAUGCAUUCAAAGAAUUUCUCCAAUCUUAAAGAUGAAAAAACUCAACAUCAUUAAUACUUCCACAUAUUCACUCAUAAUCUAACCUCUCCGAUUUCUUCUAGCCUUAAAAUAAACAGGAAGAUUUAUCAGUUUCAUCAAUACUUCGCCCACAGUAUUCAUUCCAACGUCAGCAGACAAUUACUUGUGCCUUAAAAGUUAUGGGGAAAAAUCCGUCAGCAUUGCUAACAUCUACUCAUAAUUGUUCCAGUUAUUGAACAACUCCAAUAAGCUUGCAAGACAAGAUGGCAAUGGAAAAUAAUAUAUUUCUAACAAAGUUAUCAAAUCCCCUUAAUAGUAACCAUUGAUGUUCUUGCUAUGCGUGCUAUGUUUAUCUCUCGUAUAACUCAAAUAUGAAUAAAAUAGUGGAAAUAUUAGCACAAUCCUCUUCCAAUUUCUUCCCAAAUGGCUAGGCUGUAAACCCAACUUGGAAAAAGGUAAUGUAAUUAAGAUGUAACAAAAAACAACAAAAGAAGAGAACCAGAGAUGGAAACAAGAGAACAAUAUUGCACGGACGAUCAGCUACAGUUGAGUUUUGUGUUCAUUUGAAGUGAAAACUAAAAAAAUUAACCACUAAUGCACUAGCUUCUAUCACUAACCAUGAAAUUCUCCAACAUCAUUCCCACUAAGCCAUUAGGCCAGUUCCCUCCAAUUUAGGAGGCACUACCUAAAUUAAACCCAUCAACAUAAAUUAAAACUAAUUACAAAUUAAGUUGCACUAAUUCUUAACCUAAGAAAAACCCAAUUUGCAUGUGAGGAACCAUAACCAACGGCAGGAACAAAGAUUCAGCUCAUUCAUGAGAUCAUGGGCAAUUGCAAUUCACAUAAUAUUUUCCAAGCAGUGUAAUUGGGAAGGAAACUAAAAAAUUAUCAUUCAGCUAAUGGGUAUGGAGAUAAUUAAAAUCCAAAGCCUGGACAAUCAAAUUUCAUAUUGAACGAUGGAAAAUGAUUAUACGAAUAUGUUUGAAGUGAUACGAAGUCGUAAAACGGAUUGUCAAAGAAGAAAAUUCGUGUGCUAGAGGUAGAUACAGAUAUGCACUAACUCUGGGGAGGUCUAUGUGCUUGUAAAGAGACCAAUCAGAAGAACAAUCGUGAUCUUCGCAGCUGUGAUCGUGUAAGCAAGCCAUCUUUGAGGUUCCAGAACAAUAGGCAGAACGAAGAGAGAUUUCAGAGGUAAAAGAGAAAGUGCGAGAUGCUCAAAACGGCGCCGCUUCUGUACGUGAAGGAUUGUUUUCGCUUUGAUAUAAAGCCAUUACAAGAAAACAUCAAUUACAUUUUGUUUGUUUUUUAAUAGCCGUGACUAAAAUAAAUCAAGAGAUUAUAAUAAAUGAAAUUAUCAAGAUCAAGAUGAUAUUUUCUAAUGGAACAAAAAAAGAAAGAAAAAACGAAAAGUUGUAUCCUUAAUUAUACUAAAAAGGAAUAAUAAUAAUCCAUCAACACGUUAUUUGGUAGCCUUCAACAUAAUUAGUGUUUGCAUUCAAAAUGUGGAAUAGAAAUAGGAUCAUGAAACGUCGAAACAAUGAAAAAUUAGAGUUGAGGAUCAUGAAACGUCGAAACGAUGAAAAAUUAGAGUUGAGUUGAGAACCGUGGAAAUGAAAUCAGUUUUAGUAUUACAAAUUCAAUCCAAAACCAAAACAUCCAAUCCAAACUCAUUCCACGACGAGUCUCCAAACCACUGUAAUCGUAUAGGAUGUGUGUUAAAGGAACAAAUUUAGGGUUACUUUGUUUAUAUAUUUUUUUGAAAAAAAAUACUAUUUACAAAUAGAUUAUUACAAAGAUCAACUUGGAUGAGCACCUUCAAUGAACAACUUUGAGAAUUAUUUUAGUAACCAACUUCAAAAAACGACAUACGAUGCCGAAUUUUGACAAUGACCUUUUAUGAUAAUCAAUUUUGAUGGUUACUUCAUGCCACUAACCCUAGUGAAAAGUAUUUUUAUACUCUCCAAUACAAACAAUUACAAUUCAUACUAUUUUAAUUAAUCUACACUCUAAAUAUACAUUUCAUAACAUAGAUUCUAUUUCACAUAUUACAAUAACCAACUCGAAGUCACAAAGAAUCUCGUCUACAAAUCAAUCUCGAGUAGAUAUGAUUUUCCUUUUCUUCUCCGUCGUGUGAACACUAUGUGCCCCAAACAACCCUACUAUGUUGGAUUUCUUAAUUAACAAGGGAACUCAUUUUUGUCCCAUGUGUUCAAUGACGGACGUUAAAUGUACUUUUCAUUUAAACUAAGCAAAGGGAGAGAGAGGAAAAAAAGUUAAGGCUUCACCAAAAAAAUUUAAUUAUUGUUUAGAUGAUUUGAUCAUCAACUUAAUUGACUAAUAAUUUGUAACAAAUAUAUUGCUUAUUUAAAGCUUGAUUUCAAAAUUACUCAAUAAACAAACAGUACAAUCAAUCACAAAAAUUCAACCCUAAAAUGCAUCAAUCGUACAAAGUUUAGUAAUAAACAUUAAUUGAUAGAAAGUAUUCUAUUAUGAUAGUUUUGAGGCACAUAUUUUAGGUUGGAAGAAGCACAAUUCAUAGAUAUAUAAUAACUUUAAAUUGGUCCAUACAAUAUUUUAAUUAAGUGAUAUUGUUUUAGUUAAAUUAAAUUUCAAUCCGUGUAUGAAUUUACUUGAUCUCGAACUUAAAAAAUCUUUUUUGAAAUGUUUACUUGACAUUUCAAUUUGUAUUCAACAAUCUUUAGUUAAUUUAAUUGAUGUUUUUAAACGUUAGAGACUUAUAAUACACAAUAUUAAAAAUUUAUUAGACACAAGUUUUAAUUUUAUAUCUUAAUUGUUCAAUUAACGGUUAAAAGUUACUAUAUGUUAUAAAUUAAUGAACCUAUUAAACACAAAUUUUAAAAUCUUUAUAAAACGGAAUCUCUAUUUCUAAUACAAAAAUAGUUAUGGAUCAUGACAAUAUGUUUGCUACUAAGUAUGCUUAAAAAAUAAUAAGAACAUAUUAACUAACUAGUUAAAAACCAACACUAUUUUUAUAAGUUGUAGGUUGAAAAUUUAAUUCCUACCUUUACUAAAAAAAAUUAGAGUAUUGUUGAGAUGAAAAAAAAAAAAAAAAACCAUAUGCAUAUGGUAAAUUAAAAAGAUAUUUAUUGAUUGAAUUAUGGUAUAUAUCUGAUCUUAUAAGUAAAGUAUAUGAGAAUGGACAUAUUAUAUCAUAAUUUAUCCGUUCUAACUAGAAGACAAUUCAAGUACUUUGGUCAAAGACUCAAAGGUUAAUUAUGAAUGGAUUAUUUAUUAUAUAACUUAUCAUCCACAAAUUAUUUCACUUUUAAUGCAAUAUCCCUUUCUAUGAUAUUUUCUAAAGAAAAAAAGCAAUCACAUUCUCUGCCCUCUUUUAUCUUCUCUUUCUUUCUAAUAAUUAUCUGAUUCGUAUAACUAAAAGUUUAUUUUUCAUUCUAUUUAUAAGUUUUGCGAGUGCACGUUUGAGUUAAUAAAUUAAUCUUGAAAAGCAAUUGACAUGUACGAUUUAGUAUCGACGUCGAACUAAAUUUUACUUUCAAAACAGUGGUUCGAAACGAUACAACAUGAUCAACAAUUAUUUUGUCUACUACUACUAUAUUGUUUCAUUUUACUAGAAUUAUAAAAUAUAGCUAAAGUUAACAUUUAUUAAUUAGUUCUUAAUUUAAAUUUAUUUAUACUUUAUUAUUUAAAUAUACUUGCGUAAGAUUAUAUACCGUCACUGUAGGCAACGUAAUGAAAAACAUUUUGGUUAAUAUUUGAAUAUAGAUCUAUUCAAGAGCUUUCUCUUAAUGUAAGUGAUGAAUUUCUCUUGUUUAACCACGAACAUGAUUUUAACUAUUUUUUUUAAAAGGUCGGUCUUCCGUCUUUAAAUAAAACCAAUUUAAAAAUCACCUCCAUUCUUUAUUUGGAGAGUUUAUGAUUGAUCUCUUCCCAAACCACUGAUUAGGGUAAAUUUUAGAAAUAUAUUUUAAUAUCAUAACAAAUAUUAAUUAAGCCAAUAAUAAAGAUUUGAUUGAUAACAGUUUUACUAAAGUUGAAGAAACUAAAAAAGAAUGAAAAUGAUAUUUUAGUAUUAAAAAGGAUUGAAGAAAAAAGAUGAGAAAUGGACGGAUAAUAAGAUUCCACACCCAACCGCGAAGGAAUCUCGCCUAAUAUUGAUAUUUGCUAUUUAGUGGGUCAUAGCUUUCCCUAUCAACUUCAACUUGCAAUGUAUUAAAGUUGAAAAAAUGACCGCAACUAUUAUCAUUACACGUGUAAGGUCAGGAUUCAUCACCAGGGGCAACUAAGUCUUUUACAAAAACCCGCAAGAAAAUUUCCAAUUUUCUUUUUUAUAUAUAUUAAGUGAAUUUGUAAUCAUCGUUCUAUACCCACCGUGUAGCCCAAGUUUCCCGGCAACUUCAUGGCUCGAAUCCCCACCGGAGUUUUACUCUCUCUUCUAUUCCUUGCCGUAAUCGGUCUACCUGCCGGAGCCCGGGACCUUCCCGGUGAUUUUCUCCGGUUGCCGUCCGAGGCACUGAAAUUUUUUCGCGGAGGAGCUUCCGACGCUAGCGACGAAGACUCCGUGGGGACGAGAUGGGCUGUUUUGAUCGCUGGUUCUAAUGGAUACUGGAAUUACAGGCAUCAGGUUUUUUUUUCUACGAUUGAUAAGUUGCACUGACUUUAAUUCAUUUGAUAAGUUUGUGUUGUGUUAUGAUGUUGACCUUUGUGAUUGAUUGGCGUUUUCGUGUUCGUAUUUCAUACUUUUUACCCAAAAUGUCUGUUGUGCAUUAUAUCUGUUGCUGAUACUUGUCUGAUCCAUUUUCUCACUGCUUUUUAUUUUUAACCUAAACUUUAUCAUCGGUGAUUCUUCUUGGCGUGAGAUCGAUUUUUUUUUUUUUUUCCAGUUAAACUAAGUCUGCAUUCUUUUGAUCUUUACUCUUCGUCGUCUGCUUUUUUGAUCGAUUGACUUUUUUCUGUUUUUCGAUUAAGAAAUUGUAGUAGUUCUGUUCUUAUCCGUUUCAUUUUUUUCAAUACAUAUGUUCUUAGUUUAUUUUAAAAGAAAAAAAAUAAUUAAGCCUUCAAAUUAAUUAAAUAUUUGUUGCUGUUAAUAAUUCUUAAAAAUUGAGCUGAAAUUCUCGAAGAACAUGGUUUUUUCAACGCCCUUCCAUUUGUCGUUGCUACCAUGUGAUCGAUAUAACUUUUCGAUUUUGCUCCAAAAUAACCACGUUACCUGUAGCUACUCUCAAACAAAGUUUCCUUGUUUAUAAUUGUCAUGUUGAACGAGUAACUGAGCGUUUAAGGCCUAACUGCAAAAGUUUAUUUGAAGGCACUUUUGAAAAGUUUUAUUUCUUGUGUUUGUAGUGACUUUUUUUUUAUUUUAACAAGUAACAGUUAUUUUCAGUGCUCUAUUUGGGUUGCAAAAUCUCAACUCCAUACUAGCCAUAGUUUAAAUUUCUUGGUACUAAACUGGAGUAAUCUUUUAUACUUCCUAUGUAUAAUAUAUAUGUAUAUAUAUAUUCAUGAAUAUCUGGGCUAGCUGAGGCACACAUGAGCAUUUGGGUGUCAAGGAAACAGGCAGGAUAUUAAAUUCUACGUAGGUGGUCACCAUGAAUUGAAUCCAUAACCUCUCAACCAUUUUUCAAGGUCAAUAUAACCAUUUAUUAUCUUAAUAAAAAAGAGUUUGUGACUCCUCUAUGGAAAGUAAAAAAGAGCUAUAAACACAACCAGUAAUUAAAGUUACAAAUCAAAGGAGAGAAUGGAGAUAUAAUUAAGAAUUAAUAUAAAUUUGUUGAACAAGCGUAAGUCAACAGAGUCUAGGUGCUACUAUUCUGCUCUCAACCUUGUUUUAUUAUGUGAGUGUCGUAGAUGGUUUAAUUGAUUAAAAAGGCUUAGAGAAUGCUGAACUCAUUUUCCACCAGGCUGAUAUCUGCCAUGCUUAUCAAUUGUUGCGGAAAAAUGGGCUAAAAGAUGAGAACAUCAUAGUCUUCAUGUACGAUGACAUUGCCUUCAAUCCAGAGAACCCAAGACCUGGUGUCAUCAUCAACCAUCCAAAGGGUUCUGAUGUUUAUCAUGGAGUCCCGAAGGUUUUCUUUUUCUCGUUGCCCUAUCGAUUCUAAUUUUACGCCUGAUUCAUCUGAUGGUAGCUACUUAUGCACUCUACGUUUUGGCCAUGGCAGGAUUACACUGGUGAAGAUGUUACCGUGAACAACUUUUUUGCUGCCAUUCUUGGAAACAAAACUGCUCUUACAGGGGGUAGUGGGAAGGUUGUUGACAGUGGCCCUAAUGAUCAUAUUUUCAUAUACUACAGUGAUCAUGGUGGUCCUGGUGUGCUUGGUGAGUGGCUUGUUCUGUGUAGUUCGCAUACUAUUUGAGGUGACCUAUCAUGCUUAUCUGGCACCAUCUCUUUGGAUAUGUUUGUUGCUCGAUGUGCUUGAUUUAUAUCUGUAAACAAUAGCACGAUUAGUUUACAUUUCCAUAUUAUCUUUUAAAGGCAGCCAACCAACCAAAAUUCAAUCUUAAAAAGCGUGCUUUGAUUUGAAACUGAUAGUACAGCCUCAUUUACCUAGGAAACACUUAUUGGUAUCAUUAUUGUAAAAACAUUAAUCGAAGAUAAACUUGUGUUAGAUUUCUCUAACUAGUUUGUUACUUGAUGGAUAAGAAAUUUCUCAUCUCUGAUAUAUCUUGUUCAGGGAUGCCUACCUAUCCUUAUAUGUAUGCUGACGAUCUUAACAAAGUUCUAAAGAAGAAGCAUGCUGCUGGAUCCUACAAAAGUUUGGUAUAUUAUUGUACUGUUCAUUGCUUGAGACUGCAUCUGUCCUUAUAAUGUAACCAUAUAUAAUGAGAGUGGAACUGUUUGUAAUAUUUUAGGUAUUCUAUCUCGAAGCUUGUGAAUCAGGAAGUAUCUUUGAAGGUCUUCUUCCUGAAGGUUUGAACAUUUAUACAACGACUGCAUCAAAUGCUUAUGAAAGCAGUUGGGGUACUUAUUGUCCAGGGGAUUAUCCUAGUCCUCCACCAGAGUAUGAUACUUGCUUGGGUGACUUGUACAGUGUUGCUUGGUUGGAAGACAGGUAAAAAGAUAAUAGUAGGCUUGUUCUAUUGUUUUUAUACUUUGUUAUUUUGUUAUUUUGUUGUUUUUGUUUUUGUUUUUUGCUUGGUGUUUUAAUUUAUCAGUAAAAGAAAAUGAUAUCAAUGCCGAAAUCCAAAAGGUAAUGUUUUUUGAUGUUGUGCAACUUUGAUUUUGGGCAUUUGUUCUGAUUUCCAUGUUCUCAUCGUUAUAUGUACUGCCGCACCAUACUUCUGGUGUCUAGUGUUCUGUCAAGCCGAAGAAUGAGUCUCACAAAAUUAUUAGAUCCAAAAGCAGAUUAUUACCUUUUAAAUAAGGGAUCCAAACGCAAAUGACGUGAGUUAAAAUAAUGAGGAAGUGGUUUAUUUUAUUCAGAACCUCAAGAUUUUUACUUUCGUGCUGUAACAGUGAUAAUCACAAUUUGAAGACAGAAAGUUUACGCCAGCAAUACGAACUGGUAAGAAUACGUGGACCUCCGUUUUAGGAGAAAUCAACUUCCCAAGUUUAAAUUUGGUUCUUAAAAAUGAAAAAUUUUCUACCAGAUUUUUUCAUCCUUUUGUAAUUGUACUAAAUGUACCAAGUCUAAAGGACAUUUUAGUGUGUUUAUCAAAAUGAAAAAAAAUCCCAUUAUGCUCGUUUGAUCUGAUUUGAACUGUUGGUUUCUUCAGGUGAAAAAAAGGACGCUAAGUGGCCAAUAUGCCUAUGGUUCCCAUGUCAUGCAAUACGGUGAUCUAAUGCUCAACAAGAACGCUUUGUUCUCAUAUCUGGGUACUGAUCCUGCUAAUGAGAACAACACUUUUGUCGAGGAAAACUCCUUGAGGCCAGCUACAAAGUUCACCAAUCAGCGUGACGCUGAUCUGGUCCACUUUUGGGAGAAGGUUAGUUUCUUCUUUUUCUAUUUUCAAAUGGAUAAUAUAUGAACCCUGCUUGGUAUACUAGUAUAUAGUAAAUAAGUGAUAUUUUGAGGUUCGCCAAAUUGAUAAUAUUUCCUGUUUUAGAUAGUGAGAACAAAGCAUUCUUGUGCGUUAGAUCCAAUUUUUGAGACUUUUGUGGCAAUUUUUUAAAUACUACACUUGUCACCUCUCUAAUGUAGGGAUUGUAGUAUUUACUUGUUAAUCUUGGGUUUUUUCUUGCUUAAAAUUAAUUUUGGUUUCGACAUCAUUCAAGACCCUCUCACCCCAUCCGUGCUUGUUGAUCUUAGUUUCGCAAAGCUCCAGAAGGCUCCCUGACGAAAGUCGAAGCUCAGAAGAAGUUCGUGGAAGCAAUGUCCCAUAGAGCUCAUAUCGAUAACAGUGUGAAGCUAGUUGGAAAGCUGUUGUUUGGAAUUAAAGAAGGUCCUGAGGUGCUUGAAGCCAUCCGUCCCGCAGGAAGACCCCUUGUUGAUGACUGGAACUGUCUUAGGAAUAUGGUAUAAUUUCAAUAUAAUUGGAUACUGCACAGCCCAUUUCAGUCAACCAGUCAAAUGAUGUUUAGUUAUAUUUUUACUCAGUAUAAAAGUUAGUUAAUUCUGAAAUGAUUCAAUACAAACAGGUUAGGAGCUUUGAGGCACGUUGUGGAUCUCUGUCUCAGUACGGAAUGAAACACAUGAGAUCCUUUGCAAACCUAUGCAAUGCUGGAAUCAGCAAGGAGCAGAUGGCGGAGGCAUCGGCGCAAGCUUGCAUGAGUGUCCCUCCGGGCCCUUGGAGCUCUCUACUCAAGGGCUUCACUGCAUGAUGACGAAACCCAAGUCAGUCAUCGGAUUUGGAAGUACGUUUCUCCCACCAUUGUUUAUAUCACAUCUAUGUUCAAAUGGGUCUGUCGACGACAAGUCAUUUGUAAAUAGAACCACAGGCCAUUGUGUUAGGUGAGAAAAAAGGGGCAUAUAAUUGAAAUGUUGAACUGAAGAAAUACGCAUCUGUUUAUAAGAAGAAGGCUCUGGUUGUGUUGGCAAGAACGAUCAAAAUUCCAAAUGUAUUGAUUGUAUGUAGUAGAAUUAUGGUGUGCUUUUUACAUUGAAUGACAAUAUAUUUUCACAUGAAUACAAAAUUCCAACCUCCAAAAGAAGAAAAGUGAGAAAACAAAAAUGCAUGAUUGAAAUAUUGGUGAGAAAAGGCAUAAGAGGUGGGCUAUACUUAUAGAUGGGAUAUGGGUGAGAAGGGUAGGCUCCACUCCUUUCCUCCUUCACUUGUUUAAACUUUCGUCAAUUUUAAAAGUAGAAUGGGGAGUUUGUGGGUUGUGGUAGUUGAAAAUGGUUAGAUGUUUUGGUAUAGAAUUUAGUGGGGGAAGAGAUAAAUCCACAUAUUGGGAUUAUUGGGAUACUGUUUGUGUGUGUGUGUGUGUGUGUGUGCCCCCAUUCUCCACCUCCCUGGAUCCACAUUCUUCUAUUAUUCCCACUUUUGCACGCUUUGUUUCUUUCCUUUUAUUAUUUUAAUACCAUCUAAUUUCAUGUUCUUUAACUUUAUUGUUUUAAUACCAUCAAUUUAUAUUGUAAAAAAAAAAAAAAAAAGAGUUCCUUUUGCAUCUUAUCUGAAUGUGAAUGUUGGUUUCUAUACUAUAUUUGUAAUUUUUUUAAGAUAUAAUGAAAAUAUGAUUCACUCUUUCAUCAUCUUAAUAUUGAGUUUAGUUAGAUAGAAUAUGUAACAUUUGUCAUCUUAGUAAUUCUUUUAAUCGUGGCUUUAAAUUUACUUUAUUAUUUUCUCGUUGUUUAGUAAAGGGAUGGAAUAUCAAUUAUUGAAACUCGAUUUGGUUGUUUUGUUUAAACCCCAAAUUAUGAAUCAGAAUUGGUUCCAUACAUAAUUCUCAAAAUCUCAUAAUUCUCCAAGAAAAUAAAGAUUUCAAAUGUAGUUUCUGGUCUAUAGAACUUUAAGUUUUUUUACUUUUAGGCUUCAAUAAUUUUUUUGUUUGUUAAAAUAGUAUUCUUUCAAUUUUUUAUUAUAUAUAUAUAUAGUUCCUAGUUGAAAGGAAAAGUUGAUUAAGAGGUAUAUGUGAUGAUUUAAUAAUUUAUUCGAAUGAUUGUGUUUGAAGAAAUUAAACUAGUUGCCAACUAUAUGAAUCAAAUGAUUUUGAAUUCAAAGGUAAUAGUUAGGGAAUUGGAUAUUUUUUUUUUUCUAGUGGAGCAUCUAAUGAUACCUUUUUCAAUAUCAUUAUUACGGAGAUGAAAAUAAAAAAUUGACUCUUGAAUUAGAAUUAUGUCAAUUACUAACAAGCUAAAUUCACCUUUUCAUUAAGAGUCAACGAGACGAAAACUAAUAUGGAUACAUACUUUUGUUUAAAUUCAACGAGUAUGAUUUGAUUAUUUUGUUUCUUUUAAAAUGAGUAUGAUCUUAAUAUUACAAAAUACAAAUGGAUGGACAAAAGUUUCUUAUUAAAAAAUCAACCCCACUACUGAACAAAGGCACCAAAAGAAAAAGAAAAAAAAAAGAAGAAAAUCUUCUUCAUAUGCUCUCUCAUUUGGAAAAACGAAAAGGAACAAAAGUCUUUUUAUCUUUUUCUUUUUUUCCUUCUUAAAAAGUAGAUAAAACUUCAAAUAUGGAAAAGGUAAAUUCACAUAAUGACUAAAAGCAUUUUUAUUUCAUAACCUUUAUUUAUACAUAAAUACGCAUGUGCCUUUAUUGGUAAUCUUUCUUUGUUUUUGUUUUUUAAUUGGUUUUUAAAAACUAAAGUGUAUUUGGUAACUAAUUCACUUUUUAUUUUUAUUUUUUAAAAAAAAACUUUUUUUAAAAUUAUAAAGAAAAAUUGAAAAUGAAAGGACAUCUUUAAAAUAACAACAUUAUCAAAUAUAUAUGGUUUUUAUCUUUAUAAAAAAUUAGAAAAUAGAAAAAUGAAAACAAAAAUAAAAAUUGAAAUGGUUAACUAAACCUGUUCUAGAAGUUUAAAAAUAUAAUGAUAAUUAUAAAUAUGUUUGGAGAUUUUUAAAAGAAGAAGAAGAAAAUUGACGAAUUAUUUACGUAAUCCACUAAAAGUCAAAAUUUAUACACUUAUUUCUCUACUAAUGAUAAAUAUUCUAUUUGUAUGGUUUUUCCCUUUUUUCUUUUUUUGGUAGAGUGGGGGCUCGAAAAUGAAGUUUAAAUAAAGUUAUGUGAUGAACUAACAAUAGGCUAAAAAGAUAAAAUCUUAUUAAAUUUACAUAAUGUUUUUUAAAAAAACGAACUCAUUUAUUAAAUUUGAGGGUACAAUGGUGAGUUUGAUGUGAUUUUUUAGAAGUUAGGGAAGGAGUGGAAAGUGAAAAUAAAUAUAAGCUUAUAAUUAUUAAUAAACAUGAGAAAAGUGCUUUGCAUUAUUAGGAAGUUUACAACAAACUCUAAUUUUUAAUUUAACUUGUUUGUUUCUAAUUAAUAUAAUAUCAACUUGUCAAUAUUUGAACUUUUAUAUAACAUUUCAGUCCUUACAUAUUCUUUUAUAACUUUUAUAUUCUCCAUUUAAAUCCUUUGACUAAUUAAAACUUUUAUUAUGUAUAAGGAAAAUUUUAAAAAAUAAAAUUUAUAAUUAUUAAGUAAGCAAGUGAAUGGUACGAAACAUGUAAGCCUCAAAGUUAUUAUUUCAAUUUUAUUUUAUCAUCUUUUAAAACACGUUCGAUGUUGAUGAUCUAAGCUUUUUACAGUUCUUGGUAUAUGAUUGCAUGUGUAAAGAGUUUAAACCUCGAGUAGGGAAGUAGUUAUACUUUCCUUGAGGUCUUCAAUCAUGACAAGAUUUUUAAUUUUUAAAUUUUUAGAAUUAAAGUUUUCAUAUAUAUAAAAUAAAUUUAUUAAGUAAUUUUGUAUGAUUGACUCAAACGAAUGGUGUCUCGUUUAUAUAAUAUUAGGAUUUGUGGUAAAUAAUUUAUGGGAUGGUUUUGGAGAUGAAAAAAAAGUAAAAGAAUAUGAAGAAAUAUAGAGUUGCAUUUAAUGAUUGUAUUGUGGUGUUUUGAAACAUCACGACUCUCUUCCACAAAACGUUUUCUAAAAUCACAAUGGAUAAAGUCAAAUUGUUGGUGAAGAAUCCUUUGUUUUUUCCAUUAAUAAUUGUAUCUAUCAAAUUUAAACUUUAUCCAUUUUUAUAUUUUACAAAAAUCUACCUACCAAUCAUAAAUAAAAUUAAUUUACAUAUUAAUCAUAAUUAACUAAAAAAUGCAAUAAUACAUUAGAACACUACCACUACAGGUUUUAACUAUGCCAAAUUAGUUUUAAAACUUUGAAAUAUAUGUAUAUACAUUAUAUGGUAAAGUAUUGAGGUAGAUUUGUUAGAAUAUUAAUAAAAUAAAGUAUCUAAGUUGAAAAGAAGGUGAAGGGGAGGAAGACAUGCAAGGUGAUUGGAUUACAAACUAAUUACAAACUAGAUUUGAGAAGAAUAGUUUGAAUUUUGGGUAGUAGAAAAGGGAGAAGGUAAGAAUGAAUGGUAGAAAUAAAUAUUUGGUUAAAGGAAACCCUAAUAUAAAUGUUUAUAAAAGAAUGAAUUGAAGGGGUCAUUGAUUGCAGUGAAAUGAAAGUAUUGAAAGUUCAAUAAUUUGGAGAGCCCCAUGGGACGUAUAAUCGGUUUGGGUAUUGACCGGAUACGACAUUACGAAAGCACUUUUAUUCAAAUGCUUUAACCAUGGUUAAUACUCCAAACUAACCAUAGUUAAGUACCCUUCCCGGUUCUAUCUAACCUCUAACCUCUAACCUCUAACCUCUAAGCUCCAAAGCUCUAAAGCUCCAUCACAUCGGCGGUUCCACACGAAAACAAAACUUAAAUAAUAAUAUAAAAGAAUAUUUUAUUUUAUUUUUGUUAGGAGAAUGAACGGACGUUAAAGAUUCCGUCAAAUUGGUUAACGCGGGGGGAUAAACGUAACGGUCGAUUGGAGAAGAGAGGAAGGAGCGGGACUCUCAGUGGACGGAAAAGCAGAUGAUGAAGCAGAGCCGGACGAUGGUUUGAUGGACGGUCAUAGAUGGAUAUUGCUGAACGGUUUAAGCGAUGUGGGACUUGGAAGAGCGUAUAAAAAUAGAGAGUUGAAAGGGUGAGAGGCCAUUUCGUUGUAUCAUUGAGGAAGGACCUCUCUGUACUACUUCUCUUUAAACUUCCCUUCUAACUCUUUCUCUCUCUCUCUCUUUCUCUUUCUCUUUCUCUUCUACAUAUUUAUAUUUCUUUCUCUUGAUGUCUCUGUAAUUAUUUCCUUCAUUUGAAGCUUUCAAAACCACCCAACAGCUUAAAAUUUUGAUAGUAUUACUGGGUUAAUCGAUCUAAGAUGGCUCGGGUCAUUGACGACUUUUAAGGCAUUGAAAUUGUUGUAAGAGAUGAGAUAAUCGACGGGGGGGAAUUUGAAUCUGGGGUCUGUUUUCUUGGCUGAUUCUGUAAUUGAUUUUUUUUUUUUUAAUAAAUUCGGAGUUGAAUUUUUGGAGAAGAGACUUUGAGUUUUGAAGGUUUGAUAAUUGAAAUCAAUUCACUGUUUAAGGUCUUUGUUGUUCUGGGUUUAGAUCUUAUCUUCUGAAAUUAGUUUCUAACUCUUGAAAUUUUCGUUGUGCAGAUAAAUACAGAGCGAUUUUAGUUGUUCGUUUGAGGGGUUUCUAAGAGAUUUGUUACCUUUUUUGAAAGUGGAAGAAGAAUUGGACUGAGAAAAAUGCAAGCGAUUAUCGGACUCUGGGAUUCGGAUUUACAUUUCGCUUGUUUUCUGCGGUGAAAUAAGCAGAUUUCUGUUCUUUGGAAGAGCUGAUUCUUGGGGGGGAGGGGGGCAAACCCAGAUCAGAAAUUUCAGGUACUGAUUGGUUAUCUUCUUGGUGUAUUUUGUAGGCUCUGUUCUUUCUGUUCUAAUUAUUUUCGUCCGAAAUUUCAGGUCUGAUUUUCUUCCUGUUCAUUGCUACCUUCAGCAUCCAAUAGCUAUCGCUUCCUCCUCUGUUCGAAUUCUUAGGGUCUGAUAAUAUGCUUUCAGAAUUUAAAAAUUCGAGUUGCUUCUUCCAUGGAAGGAUCUUCUAUCUCUCUGUGAGCCAUUGGGAAAUCUGGAUCCCCUGUUUCCAUGUGAAAUUCUUCUUGUUUCUUUGAGUUCCUCACAUUUUCAAGAUUUUCCCUCAAAUUUCCUCUUAAUUUCAGACCCAGCGUCUUCCCAAUACUUUUCUUCAGAAACCCAGACCAGUUCGGCUUUUCAAAUUUCGUGAAUUCCGUCUUCGGAUCAUCGAGAAAACCCCAUGUUCUGGUCUCUGACUGUUUGAUGUUCUCCUCGAGUAAAGUUUUUACAGUGUUGAUGGCGAAAACGUCAUAUUUCAGUGCUUGAAAUUUCUAAUCACCUUUGCUCUGUCCAUUUUUCUUCGUAACUUCGGGAUUUUCAUCCGAAUCCAAUUGACUGCAGAACCUGCUUUUUAUCCAUUUCCCCUUUCGUUUCUCUUUGCUACUUUAAUUGUAGAAUCUUCUGAGUAAUCUUUCUUCAGACUAACCCCCUUUUGAAAUGGGACAGGUAGUGUAUAUAUAAUUAAGCAUAUGGAGAAAGAAAAUCUCAGAAUCAAUAGCCAUGGCAAUUUCGUUAGUAAUAAUCUCAACGGGAGGGAUAGAACCAGCGUGGACAGCUCGCUGUUGUUGCGAGCGAGAUCCGAAGCCGCCGUUGUCGCCGUCGCAACGAGACCGCAGCCAACGCCGUCGGAAUUUGUGUUACAAUGGGGAAACCGGAAGCGUCUCCGGUGUAUGAAAGUUCCGGUUAAGGCCAAGGAUGUUUCCGCCGCAGCACCGGCUCACAGAACCACCGUCCGAGUGGACCGGCGAGUCGUUAGAGCCGAUAAAGACUCGAUUAUACAUAACCACCAACCAACUUCUAAUCAUAACCUUAAUCCGAGUAAUGGGUAUUUGAAUCUCCGUCAACGGCCGAUUUCUCCUCAACCGCCAGUUCUACCGCCGCCGCCAGCUCCAUCUCAGCGUAUUCUAAGGUACUCUCUGUUUCUCUCUCUUUUCUUCAACGCCAAUCUUUCGUAAUUUCUUUUUUAAUCUCUUUGAUCGUUCAAAUCUCAUCCGAUAUUUGAGAUUCCUUUUUCCCGGCUAUGGGAUUCAAAAUCCCGAUGUAUUCUUUUAAAUGGGCCUUUCUAUUUGGGCUUUUAUUUUAUUGGGCUUUUUAUUUGCUUGCUGUAACGCACUGCAUAUCUAAAUAUCUAAGAAACAUAUUAUCGCUAUUUAUAUACUCAUAUCAUAAUCAAUAUUUGACAACAUAGUCUAUGAUUAACACUUAUUGGCUACAUUAUUGUAAAAAAAAAUUCAAUAAUCUUUCUUUUUCAAACAAUAAAAAAAUAAUUGUAUAAAUGCAACUUGGUAUUGGAAUCUGAUGAAAUGAUGAACCAAACAUUGAAGGACGCAAUUUAGCCUCGUUGAUUAGGACACGUCUUCCAUUUCUUCCACGUGUCGUUUUCACUGUGGAAUAAUAGCCGUCGGAUCAUCAAUCGCAGUGACCACUGGUGUCCCCAGAGUGUCUCCAGAUCGGCUGCCCUGGAGCGGACACGUAAUCUCGAACUUGUAGAUCCAAAGGCUGAGGUUGGGGCGAGGUAGUCAUGAUUUGAAAAGACAGGUUUGUCCUUAAGAAAAAUCUAAGCCAUUGAAUGAAAGAAUAGAGACGAAGUCCCCCAUUUUGUACGCAAAUUCUAAGCCAGAUUUCCCCCAACGAACUCCAACAUCCUCCAAGGUCAUUCCCGUAAUUUCAGCCCACGAACGUAAAUAAAUUAAAUUUGCUUUUCUUCUUUUUUCCCUUUUUUUUUUUCUUCUUCUUUAAUGAGUAAUCUUUCAAUCUUUCGUGAGAUUUGUUCUUUAGGCCUUUUGUUUUGGUAAUCUAUGUGUGUAUGUCUUGUGGGGUUGGGAGUCUUUUUUUUAAAAAAAAGAACUUUUUGGUGAAACUAAGUAGUAAACAAACAGAGACUGAGUUUUUGUUUUUAAAAAAAUUUGAUUAGGAACUCUGAGAUUUCCGGUACGAUGAGAGCCCAAUCCAACGGCGGUGUCAGAGCAAUUACUUCUCCGGACAGGGCAGCGCCGGAGAAAAAACCACCACCGUCUCAUCACGACCACCACCAUAAAUCCGCCGCUACCUCAGACACAAAAAAAGGUGGGUCAUCUUCCGGCAGCGGAGAACCAACUGCACCGCCGCAAGCGCUGCCGGUUUGGCCACCGAAGUUCGUAAUAGCUUUAACGAACAAAGAGAAGGAAGAAGAUUUCAUGGCGAUCAAAGGGUCAAAACUGCCUCAGAGACCUAAAAAACGAGCAAAAAUUAUUCAACGCACCAUCAAUGUAAGCAAAACACCAAUCCCCCCGUCUUUACUUUUCCAGAUUCGUUCUCUACCUUUUCUUUUAUUGGUUUUAAUUACUUUUUCUUCCUUAGUUACGAACUGAUUCUCAUGCGCUAUAAUUAUUAAUUAUUAAUUAUUAAUUAUUAAUAUCAUUAUUACUUCUGCUUUAAUUAUUUAUUUGAACCCUAAUUUUCUUUUAAUUUUCACCGAAUAUUUAUUUCCUAGUAAUUAUUCAAUGAGAGCAUUAAUUGAAAAUAAAACGAAAAAGGGGGGUGUGGGGGUGAGAGAGAGAUAUUAAGGGGAGAGUUGUGGCAAUGGAAGGUUGAUGGAAUGCCACGUGGAGAGAUAUGGUUUGAGUGUUAUUUACCGGAAAUGAAGGCAUUGUGUGUGGGUGAAUGAAUGGUUUAACCAAUUACUAGUCGACAGAUAGACAAUCGCUGAGUUGUCCCAUCCUCGCCUUCAACAGUUGGGAGUCCUUUGGGUUUCUUUUUCUUUUAUCUAAAUAAUCAUGUUCACAUUCAACCUUACUUUUUGUAAUAAAUUCUUAAUUUCCCUCUUCCCUUUUACUUUUCUAUAAAUAAUAUUUGUAAAAGUAUAUUACAUUUUGUUCAGGAUUUAUUUAAUUUGUGUGUUGGUUUGGUGUUUGGUGUUUGGUGUUUGCUAUUUGGUGGUGGCAGCUGGUGAGUCCGGGGACGUGGCUAUGUGAUUUAACGUUGGAGAGAUACGAAGUAAGGGAGAAGAAAAUUUCUAAAAAGGUAUGUAUUUUUUUUCUUCUAUUUUUUGUGUUUAUUAAUUUGUGAAUUGUAAGAAUUGAUUCUUGUUAUUUGAAUGUGUUUGGGAUGCAGAGACCAAGAGGGCUUAAGGCAAUAGUGAACAUGGAGUCGGAGUCCGAGUGAGGAAAAGAGGAGAGUUUCUGAUCACAUACCAAAUUAAUUUAGAACCACUGUUUUGUUGUGAUUUUGUGGAGAGGAGGGGAAGAAGCUUUUAAUUAUGUGAAUUACAUAAAUAUAAAAUAUAUAUAUAUAUAUAUAAGUUGUAGAUUUUCUCUUGGCUAAUUGAUUUUAUUAGCAUAAUGAAAUUGUAAUUAUUCUAAUUUUUUAGUUCUAAGUUGAUCCUUUUGAUAACGGUUUUCAAGUAGAAAUUACCAAUUCUUAGAUUGAAAAUAGAAAUGAGGGUGGAAGCUACAUUUGUUUAUGGAUUAAAGAGCUUUUUCUUUUUUUCUUUUGUGUAAAGAUAUAUUGGCUUAUCAACUAACUUUUAGAAAAACAAAUCCUCCAAGAAUGAAAAAAACUCGGAUUAUCACUUUACUACAACUGCGUCAGUUGAUUCUCUAUCUUUUUUUUUUUCUUUCUCCUCAUCCUUCUUCACAUACUAAAUCAAAAGCCUAAUUUCCCGAAGUUCCCAACUUUAAUUUCCCACACUUUACACCCACCCCUUCCUCUCCUUCAAACUAUUUCUUUCUUCAACAUAUUUUUUCUUAAAAUUAACACAAAAAAAAAAAAAAGUUUCAUACAAUAACUUAUGAUAACAACUUACGUAAACAGUAGAAGGUAUUUCCUUUGGUUUGACAAAAUCAUAGAGAAUAAUGAAACUAUUAUUUUAUAAUGAAAUUCUUCAAAUGGUAGAGACUAAACUACAACUCUCUUUGAAUCAUAUUUAUUGUUAAUUAGCUAGUUUUAUGAUUUAUAAAUAUAUUACAAACACGUUAAACAAAUUUUAAAAUUAUAAUCUAAUUGAAUUUGUUUCCAAACACAUAUUUAAGAUAAAACAUAAAACAUGAAAUUAAGGAGAGGAAGAACUCUAUGUUACCAAAAUACUUUUCUUCUAACUUUUACAGAAAAAACAUUCUUAGAUUUAAACAUAAUUUUAAAUCUAUAAUGGCUGGAUUGCCAUGGUAUUAAAAAAUUAAAUGUAAAUCAUAAAAAGCUAAUAUUGCAAUAUUUAGAAUUGUAAAUUUCUUGAAACAAUCAAAUAAACUUCAUGUGAGUUCAAAAGGGUAUGCAAAAUAAAUUCUAUCGAGUAUAUAAAAUAAAAAGAAUGAAUAAAGAAAAGGAAAAAAGAACUCAAAAUGAAAAUAUAUUUGAGUUGAGCAUCACAAAGAUCACAAGUAGACUUUAUUAGUGGACAACAGAAAUCAACCAAUAUACCAUUUCAUUAAUAUAAAUAAUUCUCUAUAUGCUUUGGAUUCGUCCUUCUUAGAGAAGAAAAAAGAAAAGCAAAAAAGGCAACCAUGUUCUUGUCAUCAAUUCUCUAGCUGUAAAAAUUGCCAACCAUAAAAUUAUUGGCACCUUUCCCUUUCGGGUUUUCAUUAUUCAUUGCACAUGCCUCGCUGCCCCACAAAUUCUACUUCAAUUGGACUUCUGUUGGUCCAGAUUUCAAAUUAUUAAAUAUGCCUUACAAAUCUUGGAAUUCCACAAUUUAAUAAUCCUCAACUUAAUUCGGUAGUACACAAAAUGAUUUCUGAUGGGGUUUUUUUUUUCUCUCUCUCUCUCUCUCUUCAAGAAGAAAUUAAUCAAUCAAUUACAGUGAGAAUUACCAAAUUGUUUUGGCUAAGCGAAGAAUCUCAAAGAAAUUGUUGCAGUUAGAUAUAAUAAGCGAGUGUGUUCGUAUGAAUGAAUGCAUGAAAGAGUAAAGAAGAAGAGAGUAUUUAAAAAGAACGAAACAAUUUAUUUACUAAUCAUAACCAACAAAAUAUAGCACAAUCGUGAACAAACCAACACAACCUGCAUUCUAUAUAUAAGAAUGUGUAAACAAAAGAGGUCGUCUGUACCAAACGUGUAGAAAUUAAAGUCCCUUAGAAAAACAUCUAAAACAAAUUCCUCCGCGGCGCAAGGUUUUAGUUGAAGAGAGAAAAGAAAAAGAAAAAGGAAAAGCAGACCAUCACAAAUACAUGGAAGAGUCCAUGGCAAAAUCAAUCACCACAUCCGAAGGCCGGUAGCUCAGAUCCUGAGAGUAGAUCCGAAGGCGAGAGCAAGGAAAGCAGCAAGGCAAGCGGAGACGGCCGAAGGAGCAAUGGAGGUGGCAGGGGAGGCCGGACUGGGAGCCGGAGCCUCCUGAGCGGCGACGGAGGAAAGGGCGAAGAUGAGGGCAAUGAGAGCGAGGAGAGAAACUUUGGAGAGGGCGGCCAUUGGGUAAAAGAGGUAAUGGGGGCGGGGGGUUAGGGUUGAGGCGGGAGAGAGGAGAGAGGAGAGAACCGUUUGAUUGGGAAAUGAGAAAGGGAAAUAGUAGAAGGAGAGAUAUAUAGAGAGAAACGGGGAGGUGCAAGCUGGCGAAUGGUUGAAAGACAG
rnacentral:lncRNA from 1 species